rnacentral:lncRNA from 1 species
ACAAAACACCUGCAAAUGUGAGCUCCCGGGUAAUAAUUUUUCACAAAAAAAUAAUGCGUGUACGGAUCACAGGAAAAAGUAGUAAUUAACAUCACAUAACAAAGUAGUUACGAACAAACUCUUGCCAUUUACGCGGGCUCACAGGUAAUCAUUUUUCACAUACAUGUUCAGUCAUUCAUUUACAACUUUAUUAUAAAUUUAGCAAAGUACAUGAUAGGUCUAUACAGGAGAAGGAUCAGAGCAGACAUAGCACAUCUCUUUUCCACUCUACAGAAUGUAAUUAGUGAUGUAUUUUAGCAUUAUGGCUGCAUCUCGAACAUAAAUUAGGCGCCCAUACUGCUCAAUUUAUGAAAUGGGUUCAAAGGAAUUGGGGAAACUGAGGAACCAGAAGAACCAAUAUGGCUGCCCAUGAGUAAUACUCCCUCCUUCCCAAAAUUCUUGUCUUAGAUUUGUCUAAAUAUGGAUGUAUCAAUUCACGUUUUAGUAUUAGAUACAUCCAUAUCUAGACGAAUCUAAGACAAGAAUUUUGGGACGGAGGAAGUAUAAGAACUAAGUACAGUGCACAUACCUUGGCUCCUUGAGCUGUAAUGGAUAGACUGGUACAUCUGUACAGGAUAGGGCAGUACUGUUUGUAGCAUUCAAUAAUACUGCAAGGUUCCCUUUGCAAAAUGUACCACCAGCCCACGUUGUAGAUGGAUCCUGUCCCUCUCAUUCUAAUCUGACGGGUCAUGUGCAGCUGGUGCAUCCGUAGCACGAGUUCGCUUGUUGCACUGGAUACAUUCUCGUGCCCACCUCGGGUGCCCCCCGGACCGCCUCUUUGCUCUAUAAAUACCCCAAUAUUCUAGAAACCCUAGGGGAGUCGACAAAAAUCAAUUACAGCCGCCGCAGAGUCCAGAACCACCAGAUCCAAUCUAGAUACCAUCUCAGAUGGGGUUCACCACCUCCAUUGGUGCCUCUCCGAUGAUGCGUGAGUAGUUAUUUGUAGACCUUCGGGUCCUUAGUUAGUAGCUAGAUGGCUUCCUCUCUCUCGCUGAAUUCUCAAUACAAUGGUGUCUUGGAGAUCCAUAUGAUGUAACUCUUUUUGUGGUGUGUUUGUUGGGAUCGAUGAACUUUGAGUUUAUGAUCAGAUCUAUCUUUUUAUAUCCAUGAAAGUUAUUUGAGUUUCUUUGAUCUCUUAUAUGCAUGAUUGCUUAUAGCCUCGUAUUUCUUCUUCGAUAUUUGGGUUUUGUUUGGCUAACUUGAUCUAUUUAUCUUGCAAUGGGGAGAGGUGCUUUGUAGUGGGUUCGAUCUUACGGUGCUUGAUCCCAGUGACAGAAGGGGAACCGACAUGUAUGUAUCGUUGCUACUUGCUACUAAGGAUAAAACGACGGGGUCUAUUCCUACAUAGAUAGAUCUUGUCUACAUCAUGUCAUCGUUCUUAUUGCAUUACUCUGUUUUCCCAUGAACUUAAUACACUAGAUGCAUGCUGGAUAGCGGUCGAUGUGUGGAGUAAUAGUAGUAGAUGCAGGCAGGAGUCGGUCUACUAAUCUUGGACGUGAUGCCUAUAUAAUGAUCAUUGCCUGGAUAUCAUCAUGAUUAUUCGAAGUUCUAUCAAUUGCCCAACAGUAAUUUGUUCACCCACCGUUGGCUAUUUUUUCUUGAGAGAAGCCACUAGUAGGGAUGGCAAUGGGUCGGGUUUGGGGCGGGUGGAGCUGGUCCAAAUGCAACCCAUGACCCAUCUUCCUACCCUCUACCCAUCCACCAAAUUAUCCAUGGGCACAACUUGUGCCCAUGCCCAAACCCGCUGGAUACCCACAUACCCAUGGAGCUCCAUGGGCAUAGAAAAGUCAGCAUGAAGCCUUCCCAAAGAUCAAAUUAGCUCAUUGUCAUUCACUCACAAAUGACAACAUAACCUACAUGCAUAAGUAGGCAACAAGUAAUACGAUGAGUCCUUAAGUGUGACAUACUAGAGGUUGAUUCUGCAGCAUAUAGCUUAUGGCACCAGUUGCAUAUUGCCUGGCAUAUGGCCUCACAUGUCAUACAGGUAUCCAUUGGAUAUCCAUGGAGCACAAACUAUAACCGUGCCCAACCCGGCUGUUCAUGGGUAUCCAUAUCCACGGACCCAUGGGCAGAAAUGCGCUCCAUACCCUUGCCCAACCGGGUCGGGUAUCCAUGGGUAUCCAGAUCCAUGGAUAAAAUUGCCAUCUCUAGCCACUAGUGAAACCUACGACCCCCGAGUCUCUUUCUCAUAUAUUUUCCUUUGCGAUCUUCUUUUCCUUUGCAUUUAUUUUUAGAUCUAUUAAACCAAAAAUAUAAAAUACCUUGCUGCAAUUUAUUCUUAUUUAUUUUAUUUGGCGUUCGAUCUAUCAAUCUACUACAAUUUUAUCUCGCGUCCGUUUGCCUAUCUUGAGGCGCCCGUACCCAGAAGGGAUUGACAACCCCUUUAACACAUCAGGUUGCGAGGAUUUGUUAUCUGUGUGCAGGGGCUGCUUACGUUGUGUUGCUUGGUUCUCCUACUGGUUCGAUAACCUUGGUUUCACAUAUGAGGGAAAUACCUACCGCCACUGUGCUGCAUUAUCCCUUCCCCUUUGUGGAAAUACCAAUGUAGCUUCAAGACGCAUCAGUGAUGCAGCAAAGUAGAGUAAGUAUUUCCCUUAGUUUGAGAACCAAGGUAUCAAUCCAGUAGGAGACAACGAACAAGUCACCGAAUACCCACACAAACAAUCAACAACUUGCACCCAACGUGAUAAAGGGGUUGUCAAUCCCUUCGUGGUUAUUUGCAAAAAUGAGAUCUGAUAGAGAUAGAUAAAUGGUAAAGUAAAUAUUUUUGGUAUUUUUGGUUUAUAGAUCGGAAAGUAAAAGAUUGUGAAGGAAGUAAAUCGGAAACUAAUAUGAUGGAAAAUAGAAGAUUAUAUGAUGCAAAAUAGACCCGGGUCCAUAGGUUUCACUAGAGGCUUCUCUCAAGAUAGAAAAUAUUACGGUGGAUGCACAAAUUACUGCUGAGCAAUUGGUAGAAAAGCGCAAAGUUAUGACGAUAUCUAAGGCAAAGAUCAUGAAUAUAGGCAUCACGUCCGUUGAUACGUCUCCAACGUAUCUAUAAUUUUUGAUUGUUGCAUGCUAUUAUAUUAUCAACCUUGGAUGUUUUAUAUGCAUUUAUAUGCUAUUUUAUAUGAUUUUUGGGACUAACCUAUUAACCCAGAGCCCAGUGCCAGUUUCUGUUUUCCCUUGUUUCACUGUUUCCUAGAAAAGGAAUAUCAAACGGAGUCCAAAUGGAAUGAAACCUUUGGAAAAUUUAUUUUUGGAAAGAAAGCAAUACAUGAGACUUGGAGUGCACGUCAGGGUCUCAACGAGGAGAGCACAAUAGAUCAGGAGUUCCGCCGCCAGAAGCCUUCAUAGCCACCGAAAACCAAUCUAGACCCGUUCUGGCACCCUACUAGAGGGGGAAUCCCUCUCUGAUGGUCAUCUUUAUCAUCCCGGUGCUCUCCAUGAUGAGGAGGGAGUAGUUCUCCCUCGGGGCUGAGGGUAUGUACCAGUAGCUAUGUGUUUGAUCUCUCUCUCUCUCUCUCAUGUUCUUGAGGUGAUACGAUCUUGAUGUAUCAUGAGCUUUGCUAUUAUAGCUGGACGUUAUGAUGUUUCUCCUCCUCUACUCUCUUGUAAUGGAUUGAGUUUUCCCUUUGAAGUUAUCUUAUCGGAUUGAGUCUUUAAGGAUUUGAGAACACUUGAUGUAUGUCUUGCGUGGGAUACCUGUGGUGACAAUGGGGUAUUCUGUGAUCCACUUGAUGUAUGUUUUGGUGAUCAACUUGCGGGUUUCGUGACCUUGGGAAUCUAUGCAUAGGGGUUGGCACACGUUUUCGUCUUGACUCUCCAGUAGAAACUUUGGGGCACUCUUUGAGGUUCUAUGUGUUGGUUGAAUAGAUGAAUCUGAGAUUGUGUGAUGCAUAUCGUAUAAUCAUACCCACGGAUACUUGAGGUGACAUUGGAGUAUCUAGGUGACAUUAGGGUUUUGGUUGAUUUGUGUCUGAAGGUGUUAUUCUAGAACGAAUUCUAGGGCUGUUUGUGACACUUAUAGGAAUAGCCCAACGGAUUGAUUGGAAAGAAUAACUUUGAGGUGGUUUCUGACCUUACCAUAAUCUUUUCGUUUGUUCUCCGCUAUUAGUGACUUUGGAGUGACUCUUUGUUGCAUGUUGACGGAUAGUUAUAUGAACCAAUUAUGUUAUUAUUGGUGAUGGAACUUGCACUAGUGAAAGUAUGAACCCUAGGCCUUGUUUCAACGCAUUGCAAUACCGUUUGUGAUCACUUUUACCAUUAGUUACCUUGCUGUUUUUAUAUUUUCAGAUUACAAAACCUUUAUCUACCAUCCAUAUACCACGUGUAUCACCAUCUCUUCGCCGAACUAAUGCACAUAUACAAUUUACCAUUGUAUUGGGUGUGUUGGGACACAAGAGACUCUUAGUUAUUUGGUUGCAGGGUUGCUUGGAGAGGCCAUCUUCAUCCUACGCCUCCUACAGAUUGAUAAACCUUAGGUCAUCCACUUGAGGGAAAUUUGCUACUGUCCUACAAACCUGUGCACUUGGAGGCCCAACAACGUGUACAAGAAGAAGGUUGUGUAGUAGACAUCAAGCUCUUUUCUGGCGCCGUUGCUGGGGAGGUGAGUGCUUGAAGGUAUAUCUUUAGCUCUUGCAACCGAGUCUUUUAGUUUCUUGUUUUAUCACUAGUUUAGUUUAUAAAAGAAAACUACAAAAAAUGGAAUUGAGUUUACCUCAUACGCUUCAUCUUUUUAAUAUCUUUCGUGAGUAUGGUGGAAAGGAAAAUUGUGCCAGAGUGUUAGAAUGCAUUAAAAUGUUUGGCACUAAAUAUUUGAAUGAUGAUCAUGAUUGCAAUGUUGUUAGUAUGAAUUCCUUGAAUAUCCAUGAUGCUAAUGAUAUGCAAAGCCACAAGCUUGGGGAAGCUAUGUUUGAUGAAGAUGAUAUUUUUUGUCCCCCAAGUUUUUAUGAGCAAAUUUAUUAUGAUGAAAGAUGCCUCCUAUUUACGAUGAUUAUAUUGAUGAAAGUGGAUUUGGAGAGGUCAUGACUUUAUUUUGUGAUGAAUCCACUACUCCGGAAGAGGUUCCAAUUGAUUAUGAGAACAAAGUUGCUAUCUAUGAUGAUUAUUGUUAUGACUUUUAUGCUAUAAAGAAUAAUGAUAUCCAUGAAACUUGUCAUCAUGAUUUUAGUUUUCAAUUGGAUUAUGCCUCACAUGAUAAUUAUUUUGUUGAGUUUGCUCCCACUAUUAUUCAUGAGAAGAAUUUUGCUUAUGUGGAGAGUAGUAAAAUUUCUAUGCUAGUAGAUCAUGAAAAGAAUGUUCUAUGUGAUGGUUAUAUUGUUGAAUUCAUUCAUGAUGCUACUGAAAAUUAUUAUGAGGGAGGAACAUAUGUUUGUAGGAAUUGCAAUAAUAUCAAGUUUCCUCUCUAUGUGCUUAAAGUUUUGAAGUUAUGCUUGUUUUACCUUCCUAUAUAUGCUAGUUGAUUAUUGUUCCCACAAAUUGUUUGCUCACAAAAUCCCUAUGCAUAGUAAGUGGGUUAUACUUAAAUGUUCUAGUCAUACUCUUCAUGAUGCCCUCUUUAUGUUACAAUUCUUAUCUUUUAUGUGAGCAUCAUUGAAAUCAUCAUGCCUAGCUAGGGGCGUUAAACGAUAGCGCUUGUUGGGAGGCAACCCAACUUUAUUUUUGUUCCUUGCUUUUUGCUCCUGUAUAGUAAUAAAUAAUUUAUCUAGCCUCUGUUAUGAUUUAUUUUUUGUGUUUAAUUAGUAUUUGUGCCAAGUAGAACCGUUGGGAAGAAUUGGGGAAAGUCUUUUUAAUCUUGCUGUAAAAAAUAGAAACUUUAGCGCUCACGAGAAUUGCUUCCAUUUUUAUUUGGAUAGUGCUAUUUAGUUAAUUCUUUUUGCAUAUGAUUAAUAGAUAAAUUCCUCACGUCCAGAAAUUUAUUUUAAAAUUUUUGGGGUUCCAGAAGUUUGUGUUAGUUACAGCUUACUACAGACUGUUCUGUUUUUGACAGAUUCUGUUUUCUAUGUGUUGUUUGCUUAUUUUGAUGAAUCUAUGAGUAGUAUCGGAGGGUAUGAACCAUAGAGAAGUUGGAAUACAGUAGGUUUGACACCAAUAUAAAUAAAGAAUGAGUUCAUUACAGUACCUUAAAGUGGUGUUUUGUUUUCUUUCACUAACAGAGCUUACUAGUUUUCUGUUAAGUUUUGUGUUGUGAAGUUUUCAAGUUUUGGGUAAAGAUUCGAUGGACUAUGGAAUAAGGAGUGGCAAGAGCCAAAGCUUGGGGAUGACCAAGGCACCCCAAGGUAAUAUUCAAGGACAACCAAGAGCCUAAGCUUGGGAUGCCCCGGAAGGCAUCCCCUCUUUCGUCUUCGUUCAUCGGUAACUUUACUUGGAGCUAUAUUUUUAUUUACCACAUGAUAUGCGUUUUUCUUGGAGCAUCAUUUUAUUUUAUUUUGCUUUGCUUGCUGUUUGAAAAAAAUACCAAGAUCUGAAAUUAUUAAAUGUUAUAGAGUCUUCAUAUAGUUGCAUAAUUAUUCGACUACUCAUUGAUCUUCACUUAUAUCUUUCGGAGUAGUUUGUUGUUGCUCUAGUGCUUCACUUAUAUCGUUUUAGAGCAUGGUGGUGGUUUUUAUUUUAUAGAGUCUUUAUAUUAUUUUAAGAGUCUUUAUAACAUCAUGGUAGUUCGCUUUGGUUAUGAAACUAGUCCUAAUAUGAUGGGCAUCCAAGAGGGAUAUAAUAAAAACUUUCAUAUAGAGUGCAUUGAAUACUAUGAGAAGUUUGAUACUUGAUAAUUGUUUUGAGAUAUGGAGAUGGUGAUAUUAGAGUCGUGCUAGUUGAGUAGUUGUGAAUUUGAGAAAUGCUUGUGUUAAAGUUUGUGAUUCCCGUAGCAUGCACGUAUGGUGUAACGCCCAUGAUGCGGCUAUAUCUCCCACGUGUCGGAGCACGACUUAGAGGCAUAAACGCAUUGUAAGCAAUGUCGCAAGAGGGGUAAUCAUUACACAUCCCAUGUACUGUAUAAGGAAAGGGAUACAUAGUUGGCUUACAAUCGCCACUUCACACAAUACAAGAAUAAAGUAUUACAUCAUCCAGAUACAAUCAAGGUCCGAGUACAGAUCUCCGAUCGUCCCAACUGGGCUCCACUACUAAUCAACUAAAAAACGGAACAACAUAACGAAAACGAUCUUCAUCGAGCUCAUCCUUGAGCUCGGUUGCGUCACCUGCACGGUUUCAUCAGCACCUGCAAACUGGUUUUGGAAGUAAUCUAUGAGUCACGGGGACUCAGCAAUCUCACACCCUCGCGAUCAAGACUAUUUAAGCUUAUAGGUAGGGAAAAGGUAUGAGGUGGAGUUGCAGCAAGCACUAGCAUAUAUGGUGGCUAACAUACGCAAAUGAGAGCGAGAAGAGAAGGCAAGGCACGGUCGAGAAUCUAUGAUCAAGAAGUGAUCCUAGAACAACCUACGUUCAAGCAUAACUCCAACACCGUGUUCACCUCCCGGACUCCGCCGAGAAGAGACCAUCAUGGCUACACACGCGGUUGAUGCAUUUUAAUUAAGAUAAGUUUCAGAUUUUUUACAACCGGACAUUAACAAAAUCCCAUCUGCCCAUAACCCCGGGCACGGCUUUCGAAAGUUCAAAACCCUGCAAGGGUGUCCCAACUUAGCCCAUCACAAGCUCUCACGGUCAAUGAAGGAUAUUCCUUCUCCCAGGAAGACCCAAUCAGGCUCGGAAUCCCGGUUACAAGACAUUUCAACAAUGGUGAAACAAGACCAGCAAAGCUACCCAGAUGUGCCAACAAAUCCCAAUAGGAGCUGCACAUAUCUCGUUCUCAAGGCACACCGGAUGAGCAAGACGUCGGGUUGGCAUAAACCCUAGUUGCCCAGGGGGCGCCGGACAUCGCUCAGGUUGGACCAACACUUAGAGAAGCACUGGCCCGGGGGGGUUAAAAUAAAGAUGACCCUUGGGUUUGCCGACCCAAGGGAAAGAAAAGUCUAGGUGGCAAAUGGUAAAACCAAUGUUGGGCCUUGCUGGAGGAGUUUUAUUCAAGGCGAACUGUCAAGGGGUUACCAUUAUAACCCAACCGUGUAAGGAACGCAAAAUCAAGGAACAUAACACCGGUAUGACGGAAACUAGGGCGGCAAGAGUGGAACAAAACACCAGGCAUAAGGCCGAGCCUUCCACCCUUUACCAAGUAUAUAGAUGCAUUAAUUAAAUAAGAGAUAUUAUGAUAUCCCAACAAUAAUCAUGUUCCAACAUGGAAGAAAAUCCAAUCUUCACCUGCAACUAACAAUGCUAUAAGAGGGACUGAGCAAAGCGGUAACAUAGCCAAACAACGGUUUGCUAGGACAAGGUGGGUUAGAGGCUUGAUAUGGCAAAAUGGGAGGCAUGAUAUAGCAAGUGGUAGGUAUUGCAGCAUAGGCAUAGCAAUAGAGAGUGCAACUAGCAAGCAAAGAUAGAAGUGAUUUCGAGGGUAUGGUCAUCUUGCCUGCAAAGAACUCCGAGAGGACGAAAGCUUGAUCCUCGACAACGUACUCAACUGGCUCCUCGAUCACGUACUUGUCUCCCGGCUCUACCCAAGCAAGAACAACAAGCAAAGGGAGACACAAUCAACCAUGUGCAAUGCACAAGCAACAUGAUGCAAAACAUGGCAUGAUAUGCAGGACAUGAAAUGCAAUGCGUAUGCAUGUUUCAGAAAGGAAAGAUUGAACCUGGCCUCAACUUGGAAAACCAAGAGUGCCACUGGAAAGAGGAGUUGAUUUCGGCCGAAAUCGAUAUAAAGAUCACCGGAAUCAGAUGCACGGUUUGCAAAUGGCAAGCAAAACAAAUAUGGCACCGAUCUGCGAUUAACAGCACGAGGCCUUCUAAAUGCAUCAAGAACAACAAGCUACUGCACUCUAACAUAGCAACAAGAUACAUGGAAGGGAUCCAAUCAAGAUGCUUGACAAAAGAUGAACACUGAGCUACGGCUAAAUCACUGAAUAGCAGGUUCAAACAAGCAUGGCAAAAGUGCAAAAGAUAUCAGGUUACAGACUUAGUCAAAAUAACAUGUCAGGAAUUUAACAUCAGGAAGCAAUGUUCAGAGCAAGAUAACAACAUGCUACAGGAACAUAACAUGGCAAAGCAAGACAUGGCAUGAAGCUACUCAAAGCAUACAACAAAAGUCCCUUACUGACCAUAAGCCAAAAGGGAUCAGAAAAUACAAUGGCAUCCAUGUGAACAUAGCAACUUUCGUUACCAGAUUCAGACUUAACAGAAAACUGGAACAUGGCAAAACAGAUAUUAAGUAGGCAUGUUUACGAGCUCGAUGCACUCACCACAAGGCAUUGCAUGACAAACUAAGCAUACACCCAGCAAGUAGACAUGGCAUAGAAGCUAAACAUGGCAAGAAUAACAACAUAGCAUGCAUGGAUCAACUACAACAACCUCGGCAAAAAUGCUUAACAUGUAAACAUUCUGCCAGGAACAUUUUAUAGCAAAAGUAGAGCUCGAUUGAGUCAAGCUAGGGUGCUCCAUAAUUGCAAACAAAGACAUGGAUGGAUAGAGCAUAACAUUAUCUACAAAACAUCCUUACUGAUCAUGCUCAAAAGAGGCUUGGAUCCCUCUGUAGCAACAUGAAUACAUGGCAUAAAAAUAUUGACAGGACAAAGACUUAGAAUAUUUCUAAGUCCCUGAAAUCAACAACAUUAUGAGAGCUACUUUGCAUGCUUUUGCUAGUCACCACAUUGAUCACAAAAAUACAUGGCAUACACCCCUGUAAAUAUGGCAUGGCAUAGCCCAAAACACAUGUAGUGCUCAUGCCCAAAAGAUGCACACAAUAAUCAUGGCAAAAAUGACAAAUGCUCAUAAUCUAAUAAGAAACAGCACCUAACAUUAUGAAGCACUCUUGAAACAGCCAUUAGGGCAUCAAGAUAGACUCAAACAAGCAUGGUGGAAUGGAACAAAAUGAAGAGGACAUCCUGAUGAGCAUUUUGAUAUCUCAUGCAUGCAAAACGGAGCUACGGUCACGGAGAUAUAGCAUGUUGAACAUGGCUAUAAAUUGUCACACAUCUGGGACUUAGCAGUUUUGCAGAAAAAAAAAGAUGUGAGCACUAGAUAACGAAGUGAUGCACAGGGUGCUGGAUAGUAGGCUUGCUCACCCUGGGCUUGGCCCAUGCAAAGAGAAGUAGGCCAGGCCUUGCACAGGAGCUGGGUCGGCUGCGGGGCCCACGAACGGAGGGGCGGCCCACGCGCGGGUCAUCGUUCUCCUCCCGAUCCUGCCUGGAUCGGAGAGGCAGGGGGCAGCGGCGGCACACCACGCCGGCGACGACGAGGACCGAAGGCGAGGAUGCAGGGACGUUGGGGAGGUCGCGGGGCGACUGGAUCCGGUCUCUCUGGACCCAAUCCGGCCGAAUCCGGUGGCAGCUCGCGAUGGGGCGGCGACGAGGGAGCUCCAGCAAGGAGCUGCGGGCGCCGGCGACUACGUGAGGUGGCGGCUUCGAGCGUCGGAUGGCGCGUGCGGGCGUGGAACGGUGGAGAGGAGCUCGGGCGGGGCCGAUCCGGCCAACGACGCCUGUGGAGGAGAUGGCUUGACGGCGAGGUCGCGGUCUCCGGCGAGGUCCGGCGAAGAUCCGACGAGCAGUGAUGCUGCGGGUGUGGGCACGCGCCUGCGGGCGAGCGGCGGCGGCACUGACCGGGCCUGUGCAGGCCCGCAAUGGGCUCCACGGGCCGCGUGGUGUUGGGAAGCGGCGGCGACAGGUGGCGCGAUGUGAGUGGGCAAGGACGGCGGCAGAGCUGACGUGGCGCUCGCUGAUUGGACGGAGCGAGGUGGAGGCUGGACAUGUCCGGCAGCGGAGGAAGAAAUGUCCGAAGGUGCGAAGGAAGUGGUAUUAGGGUUUGUACUGCGCGAAAAAUCUGGAGGGAGGCACAUAUUUAUAGGUAGAGGGAGCUAGGAGUGUCCAAAUGAGGUGUGGUUUUCGGCCACGCGAUUUUGAUCAAACGACCGAGAGGAUGGAGGGGUUUGGAUGGGUUUUGGGCCACUUUGGAGGGGUGUUGGGCUGCAACACACACGAGGCCUUUACGGUUCCCCGGUUAACCGUUGGAGUAUCAAACGGAGUCCAAAUGGCACGAAACUUGACAAGCGGUCUACCGGUGGCGUACCAAGGACGCUUGGCGAAUCUCAUUCCAUUCCAAGAAUGUUUAACAUCCGCACACGAAAAGAGGCAAAAGGAGGCGCCGGAGGACAUAGUAGCACCGGAUUCUAAAACGUACAACAGGGAAAAAGCUCGGAUGCAUGAGACGAACAUGUAUGCAAAUGAAAUGCACAUGAUGACAUGAUAUGCAAUGCAUGACAUGCAAGAACCUGACAAGGCAACAACAGCGAAUAACUGGAAGACACCUGGCACAUCGGUCUCCGGGCGUUACAACACUCCACCACUACGAGAGGAUCUCGUCCCGAGAUCUAGAAUGGCACCAGAGGGGAAAACAGAAGAGAAAGAGAAGAGGUAAAACUAAGUUGCUUCUUUGACAAACAAGUGAAACCAAAGAACCUUGAAAAAGUUGAACAACUUGAAAGGAAUAAUAAGACAGAGGUGAUCAAAGUUUAAAAACACUCCGUUAGGAACGAGGAACAAGGAAGAACAAAUUCGGACAGCACUCCAUUAGAAAAGUGAUAUGAAACUAGAUAAGAUGAAAAGAACUUGAGCAGAGGGCACAACACUCUGGUUAAAUGGAUAAGCACGAAAAGAACACGAUCCUGACAAAACAAAAAGAUGGGUUUAAAAGAGCAACAUCACAAUGGUUCCGGGACAAAAGAAUAGAAGUUGGAUCGUUGGAAAGGAAAGAGUUGAGAAGAAAAUGACAUCUUCUACCACAAAUGAGCUUGAAAAGCAUCUUGAAGAGAAGGGUCGAACGAAAUUGUUGGAAAACCAACAACGAAAAGAGUAAGCUUGAUAUGGGCUUAAGGAAUACAUCUCAACAUUAUGAGGUGACAACCUGCCACUCACGGAAAAGAUUGGAUUGAUAUCAACAAGGAGACGAGAACUAUUUCACCGGGAGGAUAGAUGAAGAACUUGGGUCAUUUAUAAAUACCACAAAUAGAAACAAUCCUUAGGGAAAGCUUUAGGUGAAAUAUAGCCCAAGAUAACUCCAAUGACGAGAUUGAUGGAUUUAAAAUAUCCCAUUCUUGUGAACGAAAAAUGAUAUAUUAUCACCUCAAAUGAUACGGAAGUAAGAACUUCACUCCGGAUAGCAAGAUGAAGAAUGCUUGAGCUUCUCUGAAAAGAAUCUUGAUGAACACUUCGAGAAGGAAUUUAAGUCCUUGAUGAACCAACGUGUAGAGCCUACAUGAAGAAACUCCGGUAAUAAAGAAUGAUCAACUAAAAGGAAAGAGAAGUUGAAAACACAAGGUCAAACCUUGCGAUUAUUUAGAUGGAACUUCAUGACGAGAUAAAAUGGAAAACCUCGGAACUCCGGAAAAGAAAGAUGAAACAAUUGAAAUCAAGAAUUGACUCAUCAUGAACAAACUCCGGAAGAAUGAAUCACUUGGAUGGGGCAAGAAUAAGGAUUAUGUUAAGCGUAUCCUUCAUCAAUUUAGAUUGAUGACAAGCAACGGAUUUGGCAUACUACUUGUUCUCGCUGAAAAGGAUUAAGAGAGAUAUAACAUAAACUUUGGAAGGUCUUCAACGAACCACUUGUAGGAUUUGAAAGAACGAAUGAAUUAAUAUGAUAACCAUGGAAUAGAAUCUUGAGCAAACCACCAUAAGAAUUGGAAAAGAAAGAAGUAAAGGGAUGAAUCACCGGUAAGAAUUAGAGAAGAAUGAAGAUACUCCAUGGAAUUUAGAUACAACUGAAACAAAGAGAUCACGAGCUGAUUAGAGAAUGUUUGAAUGAGGCACCGGUAAGAUUAGGAGAACGAUAACUGAAAGCUGGGAAUGAAUAAACCAAAAUGAUGGCCUUCAGAGAAUAAACUAAAAAGAAUCUUGAGUUGCUCCGGAUAGGUGAAAAGAAUUAUCACAAUCAAAAACAAUUAUGAGAGGAUGGCAUCAAGCUUGAACCAUGAAUCUUGAAGAGAAGGAAGCAAGAUAUGGAGGAAAAACUCUUCUUCGGUCUUCAAAAUCCGAGAAUGACGACGAGAAACACCACCAAGAAUUGUUGAGGUACUCCGGAAUGAAUAAUGGAAAGGUUGAACCAAUCAACGCAAAGAAUUCGAAAGAUCUUAGAGAAGAACAUAUGACUGAUGAUAAUUCAUUCUUAUGUCAACUUCAAAAAGAAUUUGAGAUUUGACUCCGUGAAAAUAAGACGAGUCAGGUAAGAUCCUGGGAAAAGACCUGUGGGUUAGGGCCCACUCAAAAGAAACACCGUUGAACGAUUUAAAGAGAGAGAUUGCACCGGUUGAAUUAAAUGGCUAGAAUGAGAUAACAACCUCGAAAUAGGUUGAACUAGUCUUGAAUGACAAGACGAGCCUUCUGAGAUGUCUUUAGGGCACCGAAACAAUAGAAUAGCAAGAAGUGGAUGAUUAAGAGGUGCAACGGCAUGGGAAAGCAUUUGAACCGAGGAAAAAGGAUAUGAUCAAUAAAGCUUGACUUGGACCCACCGGAGAAAAAAGAAUGAAGAAUGACGAACUAGUAGAGCAUCUUCAUGAGAACCACCGGAUAAGAACAUUGAUUGAAAAGAAAGAAGAGAUUUCACAUGGAUAAAAUGGAUACUAGAUUAAGAAAUCUGAGUCCUCGAAGAAAAAAGGGUGGGUGGGCGGGGAAAACAAAGGCAACUUGGGACGAAUGAAGCAAACAAUGUUGAGAAGACUUGGAGUUGAUCUUGCGGAUGAGACAAAUGAUAGGAUCAUCUUGAAGAGAAUCGCAUCGGUUGACAAGGAUUGUCAUGACAAACUCGAUGAUCGAGAAGUAUUAGUAUUCACAUAGGAAUAUGAGAACACCAUUUGGGGAAGGUAUGGAAUCGGCACUUGACAUUGAAGCAACUCAAAUACUACAACUCAAAACAAAACAAGGAUUGGCUUGCAUAAUAAGCCAGAACAAACAUAUGAUAGAGAUUUCGUCCGAAGUUUUUGUGGUGGGGCCUACACGGGCUCGAUCGUACAACACCAUCAUGUACAAGGCAGUGCACAUGACAUAUGAAGCGUCCCCAAGUCAGCAUAGCCAAGGACUCUUUAAGACACAACGAUACCACUUUAAAACCAACCGUGGAUAAGCGGACCACUAGACGUCGAACCCCAAUUUCAUAUCAUACAUCUGUCGGAAAGAUAUCCUAAGAGCUACUUGAAUUCCCACUUAUAAACUCCCGAAAUUUUACGGUUAUGCAAUCAGGUGUUGGGGAUAUAGGGGAAGCAUAAUAUCUCACCCAAAACUAGCAAAUCCUACAUCCAGCUGUAUCCAUCCUUCAACACAUAACCAAGAAACCUUCAAAAAUCAUUUACCUCAACCUUCGAAAAGCAUCCGUUAUACAAGUUAUGGCAAUACUCCCGAACUCCCGCCCCAGUACUGGGUGGCGUCGAGGUUAUCUCACCAAGAACUGCAUAAAAGAGAUUUUCGAUGUCGGCGAACUCAGGUAUUCUAGAACUGCAACGAUAAAAUUGUGACGACAACACCUCGGAGCUCAACUCCCCGGGACACUACCACAACCCCUAAAUGUCAGGAGGCACCAAGAACAAUGUUCUCAUCACAAAUCCAUCAGAACGAUUCCAAGAUACCCACGUUAUCCUAAUUUUUUUAGUGGAAUUUGAGAAGAGAAAAGUCAAAACUCUACGUCAGGAUGCCUUACCAGAGCGACGAAGGGACUGAGGAGUAAAAAGAAUCCUACUCUCCGAUAUAUAUAAUCCUAAAUGACUCAAAACAUUAUUCUAGACUCAACAACGCCAGCGAUUCGAUCAAGCAAGGGGCUCCUAAGUCGGGGAAGGCUCUGAUUACCAACUUGUAAUGCCCACGAUGCGGCUAUAUCUGCCACGUGUCGAAGCACGACUUAGAGGCAUAACCGCAUUAUAAGAAAUGUCGCAAGAGGGGUAAUCAUUACACAUCCCAUCUACUGAAUAAGGAAAGGGAUACAUAGUUGGCUUACAAUCGCCACUUCACACAAUACAUGAAUAAAGCAUUACAUCAUCCAGAUACAAUCAAGGUCCGAGUACGGAACCAAAAUAAAAGAAGACUACCCCUAAUGCUAAAGAUCCCCGAUCAUCCCAACUGGGCUCCACUACUGAUCAAUGGAAAACGGAACAACAUAACGAAAUCUUCAUCGAGCUCCUCCUUGAGCUUGGUUGCGUCACCUGCACGGUUUCAUCGGCACCUACAAACUGGUUUUGGAAGUAAUCUGUGAGUCACGGGGACUCAGCAAUCUCACACCCUCGCGAUCAAGACUAUUUAAGCUUAUAGGUAGGGAAAAGGUAUGAGGUGGAGCUGCAGCAAGCACUAGCAUAUAUGGUGGCUAACAUACGCAAAUGAGAGCGAGAAGAGAAGGCAAAGGCACGGUCGAGAAUCUAUGAUCAAGAAGUGGUCCUAGAACAACCUACGUUCAAGCAUAACUCCAACACCGUGUUCACAUCCCAGACUCCACCGAGAAGAGACCAUCACGUCUACACACGCGGUUGAUGCAUUUUAAUUAAGAUAAGUUUCAGGUUUUUUACAACCGGACAUUAACAAAAGCCCAUCUACCCAUGACCGCGGGCACGGCUUUCAAAAGUUCAAAACCCUGCAGGGGUGUCCCAACUUAGCCCAUCACAAGAUCUCACGGUUAACGAAGGAUAUUCCUUCUCCCAGGAAGACCCGAUCAGGCUCGGAAUCCCGGUUACAAGAUAUUUCGACAAUGGUAAAACAAGACCGGCAAAGCCACCCAGAUGUGCCGACAAAUCCCGAUAGGAGCUGCACAUAUCUCGUUCUCAGGGCACACCAGAUGAGCAAGACGUUGGGUUGGCAUAAACCCUGGUUGCCCAGGGGGCACCGGACAUCGCUCAGGUUGGACCAACACUUAGAGAAGCACUGGCCCGGGGGGAGGGGGGGUUAAAAUAAAGAUGAACCUUGGGUUGGCCGACCCAAGGGAAAUAAAAGGCUAGGUGGCAAAUGGUAAAACCAAUGUUGGGCCUUGCUGGAGGAGUUUUAUUCAAGGCGGACUGUCAAGGGGUUCCCAUUAUAACCCAACCGUGUAAGGAACGCAAAAUCAAGGAACAUAACACCGGUAUGACUGAAACUAGGGCGGCAAGAGUGGAACAAAACACCAGGCAUAAGGCCGAGCCUUCCACCAUUUACCAAGUAUAUAGAUGCAUUAAUUAAAUAAGAGAUAUUGUGAUAUACCAACAAUAAUCAUGUUCCAACAUGGAACAAACUCCAAUCUUCACCUGCAACUAACAACGCUAUAAGAGGGGCUGAGCAAAGCGGUAAUAUAGCCAAACAACGGUUUGCUAGGACAAGGUGGGUUAGAGGCUUGACAUGGCAAAAUGGGAGGCAUGAUAUAGCAAGUGGUAGGUAUCGCAGCAUAGGCAUAUCAAUAGGGCGAGCAACUAGCAAGCAAAGAUAGAAGUGAUUUCGAGGGUAUGGUCAUCUUGCCUGCAAAGAACUCCGAGAAGACGAAAGCUUGAUCCUCGACAACGUACUCAACUGGCUCCUCGAUCACGUACUCGUCUCCUGGCUCUACCCAAGAAAGAACAACAAGCAAAGGGAGACACAAUCAACCACGUGCAAUGCACAAGCAACAUGAUGCGAAACAUGGCAUGAUAUGCGGGACAUGAAAUGCAAUGCGUAUGCAUGUUUCGGAAAGGAAAGAUUGAACCUGGCCUAAACUUGGAAAACCAAGAGUGCCACUGGAAAGAGGAGUUGAUUUCGGUCGAAAUCGAUAUAAAGAUCACCGGAAUCGGAUGCACGGUUUGCAAAUGGCAAGCAAAACAAAUAUGGCACCGAUCUGCGAUUAACAGCAUGAGGCCAUCUAAAUGCAUCAAGAACAACAAGCUACUGCACUCUAACAUAGCAACAAGAUACAUGGCAGGGAUCCACUCAAGAUGCUUGACAAAAGAUGAACACUGAGCUAUGGCUAAAUCACUCAAUAGCAGGUUCAAACAAUCAUGGCAAAAGUGCGAAAGAUAUCAGGUUACAGACUUAGUGAAAAUAACAUGUCAGGAAUUUAACAUCAGGAAGCAAUGUUCAGAGCAAGAUACCAACAUGCUACAUGAACAUAACAUGGCAAAGCAAGAAAUGGCAUGAAGCUACUCAAAGCAUACAACAAAAGUCCCUUACUGACCAUAAGCCAAAAGGGAUCAGAAAAUACAAUGGCACCCAUGUGAACAUAGCAACUUUCGUUACCAGAUUCAGACUUAGCAGAAAACUGGAACAUGGCAAAACAGAUAUUAAGUAGGCAUGUUUACGAGCUCGAUGCACUCACCACAAGGCAUUGCAUGACAAACUAAGCAUACACCCAGCAAGUAGACAUGUCAUAGAAGCUAAACAUGGCAAGAACAACAACAUAGCAUGCAUGGAUCAACUACAACAACCUCGGCAAAAAUGCUUAACAUGUAAACAUUCUGCCAGGAACAUUUUAUAGAAAAAGUAGAGCUUGAUUGAGUCAAGCUAGGGUGCUCCAUAAUUGCAAACAAAGACAUGGAUGGAUAGAGCAUAACAUUAUCUACAGAACAUCCUUACUGAUCAUGCUCAAAAGAGGCAUGGAUCCCUCUGUAGCAACAUGAAUACAUGGCAUAAAAAUAUUAACAGGACAAAGACUUUGAAUAUUUCUAAGUCCCUGAAAUUAGCAACAUUACAAGAGCUACUUUGCAUGCUUGUGCUAGUCACCACAUUGAUCACAAAAAUACAUGGCAUACAGCCCUGUAAAGAUGGCAUGGCAUAGCCCAAAACACAUGUAGAGCUCAUGCCCAAAAGAUGCACACAAUAAUCAUGGAAAAAAUGACAAAUGCUCAUAAUCUGAUAAGAAACAACACCUAACAUUAUGAAGCACUCUUGCAACAGCCAUUAGGGCAUCAAGAUGGACUCAAACAAGCAUGGUGGAAUGGAACAAAAUGAAGAGGACAUCCUGAUGAGCAUUUUGAUGUCUCAUGCAUGCAAAACGGAGCUACGGUCACGGAGAUAUAGCAUGUUGAACAGGGCUAUAAAAUGUCACAGAUCUGGUACUUAGCAGUUUUGUAGAAAAAAAAGAUGUGAGCGCUAGAUAACUAAGUGAUGCACAGGGCGCUGGUAGCAGGCUUGCUCACCCUGGGCUUGGCCCAUGCAAAGAGAAGUAGGCCGGGCCUUGCACAGGAGCUGCGCCGGCUGCGGGGCCCACGAACGGAGGGGCGGCCCACGCGCGGGUCAUCGUUCUGCUCCCGAUCCUUCCUGGAUCGGAGAGGCAGGGGGCAGCGGCGGCAAACCACGCCGGCGAUGACGAGGACCGAAGGCGAGGAUGCAGGGACGGCGGGGAGGUCGCGGGGUGACUGGAUCCGGUCUCUCCGGACCCGAUCCGGGCGCAGCUCGCGACGGGGCGGCGACGAGGGAGCUCCGGCGACUCCAGGAGGUGGCGGCUUCGGGCAUCGAAUGGCGCGUGCAGGCGUGGAUCGGUGGAGAGGAGCUCGGGCAGGGCCAGUCCGGCCAACGACGCCGGUGGAGGAGAUGGCUUGACGGCGAGGUCGUGGUCUCUGGCGAGGUCCGGUGAAGAUCUGGCGAGCAGUGAGGCUGCGGGUGCAGGCACACGCCUGCGGGCGAGCGGCGGCGGUGACCGGGCCCGUGCGGGCCCGCGAUGGGCUCCCCGGGCCGCGCGGUGGUGGGAAGCGGCGGCGACAGGUGGCGUGAUGUGAGUGGGCGAGGAUGGCGGCGGAGCUGACGUGGCGCUCGCUGAUUGGACGGAGCGAGGUGGAGGCUGGACAUGUCCGGCGGCGGAGGAAGAAACGUCCGACAGCGCGAGGGGAGUGGUAUUAGGGUUUGUACUGCGUGAAAAAUUCGGAGGGAGACACAUAUUUAUAGGUAGAGGGAGCUAGGAGAGUCCAAAUGUUGGAAAUAUGCCCUAGAGGCAAUAAUAAAUUGGUUAUUAUUAUAUUUCCUUGUUCAUGAUAAUCGUUUAUUAUCCAUGCUAGAAUUGUAUUGAUAGGAAACUCAGAUACAUGUGUGGAUACAUAGACAACACCAUGUCCCUAGUAAGCCUCUAGUUGACUAGCUUGUUAAUCAAUAGAUGGUUACGGUUUCCAGACCAUGGAUAUUGGAUGUCGUUGAUAAUGGGAUCACAUCAUUAGGAGAAUGAUGUGAUGGACAGGACCCAAUCCUAAGCCUAGCACAAGGAUCGUGUAGUUCGUUCGCUAAAGCUUUUCUAAUGUCAAGUAUCAUUUCCUUAGACCAUGAGCUUGUGCAACUCCCGGAUACCGUAGGAAUACUUUGGGUGUGCCAAACGUCACAACGUAACUGGGUGACUAUAAAGGUGCAUUACGGGUAUCUCUGAAAGUGUCUGUUGGGUUGGCACGAAUCGAGACUGGGAUUUGUCACUCCGUGUGACGGAGAGGUAUCUCUGGGCCCACUCGGUAGGACAUCAUCAUAAUGUGUACAAUGUGAUCAAGGAGUUGAUCAUGGGAUGAUGUGUUACGGAACGAGUAAAGAGACUUGCCGGUAACGAGAUUGAACAAGGUAUCGAGAUACCGAUGAUCGAAUCUCGGGCAAGUAUCGUACCGCUAGACAAAGGGAAUUGUAUACGGGAUUGAUUGAAUCCUUGACAUCGUGGUUCAUCCGAUGAGAUCAUCGUGGAGCAUGUGGGAGCCAACAUGGGUAUCUAGAUCCGGCUGUUGGUUAUUGGCCGGAGAGUCGUCUCGGUCAUGUCUACAUGUCUCCCGAACCCGUAGGGUCUACACACUUAAGGUUCGGUGACGCUAGGGUUAUAGAGAUAUUAGUAUGCGGUAACCCGAAAGUUAUUCGGAGUCCCGGAUGAGAUCCCGGACGUCACGAGGAGUUCCGGAAUGGUUCGGAGUUAAAGAUUUAUAUAUGGGAAGUCUUGUUUUGGUCGCCGGAAAAGUUUCGCGCAUUAUCGGUAUUGUACGGGGAGUGCCGAAAGGGGUCCGGGGGUCCACCAAAGGGGUCCACUUGCCCCGGGGGUCCACAUGGGCUGUAGGGGUGUGCACCUUGGCCUAUAUGGGCCAAGGACACCAGCCCCAAGAGGCCCAUGCUCCAAGAGAUAAGGGAAAGGAAGAGUCCUAAAAGGGGAAGGCACCUCCUAGGUGCCUUGGGGAGGAUGGACUCCUCCCUGGCCGCACCCUUCCUUGGAGGAACGUCCAAGGCUGCGCCCCCCCUCUCCCUUGGCCCUAUAUAUAGUGGGGGGAAGGGAGGGCAGCAACACCUAAGCCCUGGCGCCUCCCUCUCCCUCCCAUGACACAUCUCCCUCCUCCCGCAGCGCUUGGCGAAGCCCUGUUGGAAUCCCGCUACUUCCACCACCACGCCGUCGUGCUGCUGGAUCUCCAUCAACCUCUCCUCCCCUCUUGCUGGAUCAAGAAGGAGGAGACGUCGCUGCUCCGUAUGUGUGUUGAACGCGGAGGUACCGUCCGUUCGGCGCUAGGAUCAUCGGUGAUUUGGAUCACGACGAGUACGACUCCGUCAACCCCGUUCUCUUGAACGCUUCCGCGCGCGAUCUACAAGGGUAUGUAGAUCCACUCCUCCCUCGUUUCUAGAUGACUCCAUAGAUUGAUCUUGGUGACACGUAGGAAAAUUUUGAAUUAUUGCUACGUUCCCCAACAGUGGUAUCAGAGCUAGGUCUAUUGCGUAGAUUCUAUGCACGAGUAGAACACAAAGUAGUUGUGGGUGUUGAUUUUGUUCAAUAUGCUUACCGUUACUAGUCCAAUCUUGAUUCGGCGGCAUUGUGGGAUGAAGCGGCCCGGACCAACCUUACACGUACGCUUACGUGAGACCGGUUCCGCCGACUGACAUGCACUAGUUGCAUAAGGUGGCUGGCGGGUGUCUGUCUCUCCCACUUUAGUCAGAUCCGAUUCGAUGAAAAGGGUCCUUAUGAAGGGUAAAUAGCAAUUGGCAUAUCACGUUGUGGUUUUUGCGUAGGUAAGAAACAUUCUUGGUAGAAACCCAUAGCAGCCACGUAAAACAUGCAAACAACAAUUAGAGGACGUGUAACUUGUUUUUGCAGGGUAUGCUAUGUGAUGUGAUAUGGCCAAGAAGAAUGUGAUGAAUGAUAUGUGAUGUAUGAGAUUGAUCAUGUUCUUGUAAUAGGAAUCACAACUUGCAUGUCGAUGAGUAUGACAACCGGCAGGAGCCAUAGGAGUUGUCUUAAUUUAUUUAUGACCUGCGUGUCAACAUAAACGUCAUGUAAUUACUUUACUUUAUUGCUAACCGUUAGCUGUAGAAGUAGAAGUAAUAGUUGGCGAGACAACUUCAUGAAGACACGAUGAUGGAGAUCAUGAUGACGGAGAUCAUGGUGUCAUGCCGGUGACGAUGAUGAUCAUGGAGCCCCGAAGAUGGAGAUCAAAAGGAGCAAUAUGAUAUUGGCCAUAUCAUGUCACUAUUUGAUUGCAUGUGAUGUUUAUCAUGUUUAUACAUCUUAUUUGCUUAGAACGACGGUAGUAAAUAAGAUGAUCCCUCACUAAAAUUUCAAGAAGGUGUUCCCCCUAACUGUGCACCGUUGCGAAAGUUCAUCGUUUCGAAGCACCACGUGAUGAUCGGGUGUGAUAGAUUCUUACGUUCGAAUACAACGGGUGUUGACGAGCCUAGCAUGUACAUACAUGGCCUCGAAACACAUGCGAAACACUUAGGUUAACUUAACGAGCCUAGCAUGUACAAACAUGGACUCGGAACACAAGACACCGAAAGGUCGAGCAUGAGUCGUAUGGUAGAUACGAUCAACAUGAAGAUGUUCACCGAUGUUGACUAGUCUGUCUCACGUGAUGAUCGGACACGGCCUAGUUGACUCGGAUCAUGUAAUCACUUAGAUGACUAGAGGGAUGUCUAUCUGAGUGGGAGUUCAUGAACUUAAUUAUCCUGAACAUAGUCAAAAGGGUUUUUGAAAAUUAUGUCGUAGCUCGUGCUUUAGUUCUACUGUUUAGAUAUGUUCCUAGAGAAAAAUUAGUUGAAAGUUGAUAGUAGAAAUUAUGCAGACAGUAAAAGGCUUAUGUCCUUAAUGCACCGCUCAGUGUGCUAAACCUGGAACGUCGUCUGUGGAUGUUGCGAACAUCUGACAUACAUAUUUUGAUAACUACGUGAUAGUUCAGUUAAAUGGUUUAGAGUUGAGGCACCGAAGACGUUUUAAAACAUCGCGAAACAUAUGAGAUGUUUCGAGGGCUGAAAUUGGGAUUUCAGGCUCGUGCCCACGUCAAGAGGUAUAAUACCUCCGACGAUUUUCCUGCAAACUAAGGGAGAAAAGCUCAAUUGUUGAGCUUGUGCUCAGAUUGUCUGAGUAUAACAAUCAUUUGAAUCGAGUGGGAGUUGAUCUUCCAGAUGAGAUAGUGAUGUUUCUUCGAAGUCAAUGCCACCAAGCUGCUAGAGCUUCGUGAUGAACUAUAAUAUAUCAGGGACAUAUAUGAUGAACCUUGAGAUAUUCACGAUGUUUGACACCGCGAAAGUAGAAAUCAAGUUGGAGCAUCAAUUGUUAAUGGUUAGUAAAACCACUGGUUUCAAGAAGGGCAAGGGCAAGAAAGGGAUACUUCAUGAAACAACAAGUCAGUUGCUGCUCAAGUGAAGAAACCCAAAGUUGAACCCAAGCCCGAGACUAAGUGCUUCUGCAAUAAAGGGGAACAGCCACUGGAGCACAAUUACCCUAGAUACUUGGUAGAUGAGAAGACUGUCGAUAGAAGUAUAUUGGAUAUACAUUAUGUUAAUGUGUGCGUUACUAGUACUCCUAGUAGCACCAGGGUAUUAGAUACCGGUUCCGUUGCUAAGUGUUAGUAACUCGAAAUAAAAGCUACGAAAUAAACGGAGACUAGCUAAAGGUGAGCUGACGAUAUGUGUUGGAAAUGUUUCCAAGGUUGAUAUGAUCAAGCAUCGCACGCUCCCUCUACCAUCGAGAUUGGUAUUAAAACCUAAAUAAUUGUUAUUUGGUGUUUGCGUUGAGCACAGACAUGAUUGUAUUAUGUCUAUCGCGAUACGGUUAUUCAUUUAAGGAGAAUAAUGGUUACUCUGUUUAUUUGAAUAAUACCUUCAAUGGUCUUACGCCUAAAAUGAAUGGUUUAUUGAAUCUCGAUCGUAGUGAUACACAUGUUCAUGCCAAAAGAUAUAGGAUAGUAAUGAUAGUACCACCUACUUGUGGCACUGCCACUUAAGUCAUAUUGGUAUAAAACGCAUGAAGAAGCUCCAUGUUGAUGGAUCUUUGGACUCACUCGUUUUUGAAAAGGAUUGAGACAUGCAAACCAUGUCUAUUGGCAUAUAUGCAUGAAGAAACUCCAUGAAGAUGGAUCGUUUGGACUCACUUGAUUUUGAAUCACUUGAGACAUGCAAAUCAUACCACAUGGGCAAGAUGACUGAAAGGCCUCGUUUUCAGUAAGAUGGAACAAGAGAGCAACUUGUUGGAAGUAAUACAUUUGAUGUGUGCAGUCCAAUGAGUGCUGAGGCACGCUGUGGAUAUCGUUAUGUUCUUACUUCACAGAUGAUUUGAGUAGAUACUGAGUGUAUUUACUUGAUGAAACACAAGUCUGAAUUAUUGAAAGGUUCAAGUAAUUUCAGAGUGAAGUUGAAGAUCGUCGUGACAAGAGGAUAAAAUGUCUAUGAUGUGAUCAUAGAGACGAAUAUGUGAGUUACGAGUUUGGCACACAAUUAAGACAUUGUGGAAAUUGUUUCACGACUAAUACCGCCUGGAACACCAUAGUGUGAUGGUGUGUCCGAACAUCAUAAAUGCACCCUAUUGGAUAUGGUGCAUACCAUGAUGUCUCUUAUCGAAUUACCAUGAUAGUUUAUGGGUUAGGCAUUAGAGACAACCACAUUCACUUUAAAUAGGGCACCACGAAAUUCCGAUGAGAUGACACCACAUGAACUAUGGUUUAGAGAAACCUAAGCUGUCAUUUCUUAAAAGUUUGGGGCUGCGACGCUUAUGUGAAAACUUUCAGGCUGAUAAGCUCGAACCCAAAGCAGAUAAAUGCAUCUUCAAAGGACACCCAAAACAGUUGGGUAUACCUCCUGUCUCAGAUUCGAAAGCAAUAAGGGAUUGUUUCUAGAAUCGGGUCCUUUCUCGAGGAAAAGUUUCUCUCGAAAGAAUUGAGUGGGAGGAUGGUGGAGACUUGAUGAGGUUAUUGAACCAUCUCUUCAACUAGCAUGUGGCAGGGCACAGGGAGUUGUUCCUGUGGCACCUACACCAAUUGAAGUGGAAGCUUAUGAUAGUGAUCAUGAAACUUCAGAUCAAGUCACUACCAAACCUCGUGGGAUGACAAGGAUGCGUACUACUUCAGAGUGGUACGUAAUCCUGUCUUGGAAGUCAUGUUGCUAGACAACAAUGAACCUACGAGCUUUGGAGAAGCGAUGGUGGGCCCGGAUUCCGAUAAAUGGCUCGAGGCCAUAAAAUCCGAGAGAGGAUCCAUGUAUGGAAACAAAGUGUAGACUUUGACAGAACAGCUCGAUGGUCGUGAGGCUGUUGAGUACAGAUGGAUUUUAAAAGGAAGACGGACAAUGAUGGUAAAUGUCACCAUUAAGAAAGCUCGACUUGUUGUUAAGAUGUUUUCCGACAAGUUCAAGGAGUUGACUAUGAUGAGACUUUCUCACUCGUAGGGAUGCUAAGAGUAUGUUGGAAUUAUAUUAGCGAUUACUGCAUUAUUUAUGAAAUCUUGCAGAUAGGAUGUCAAAACAUUGUUUCCGCGACGUUUUUUUUGAGGAAAGGUUGUAUGUGAUACAAACCGGAAGGUUUUGUCAAUCCUGAAAGAUGCUAAUAAGUAUGCAAAGCUCCAGCAAUCCUUCUAGGGACUGGAGUAAGCAUCUCAGAGUUGGAAUGUAUGCUUUGAUGCUGAUCAAAGAUUUUGGGUUUAUACAAAGUUUAUGAGAAACUUGUAUUUCCAAAGAAGUGAGUGGGAGCACUAUAGAAUUUCUGAUGAAUAUAUGUUGUUGACAUAUUGUUGAUCAGAAAUGACGUAGAAUUUCUGGAAAUCAUAUAGGGUUAUUUGGAAAGUGUUUUUCAAUGGAAAGCCUGGAUUAAGCUACUUGAACAUUGAGCAUCAAGAUCUAUAAGGAUAGAUCAAAACGCUUCAUGGUACUUUCAAAUGAGCACAUACCUUGACAUGAUCUUGAAGGUGUUCAAGAUGAAUCAGUCAAAGAAGGAGUUCUUGCCUGAGUUGUAAGGUACGAAGUUAAGACUUAAAGCUCGACCAUGGUAGAAUAGAGAGAAAGGACGAUGGUCGUCCCCUAUGCUUAAGACGUAGGCUCUACAGUAUGCUAUGCUAUGUACCGCACCUGAAGUGUGACUUGCCAUGAGUCAGUCAAGGGGUACAAGAGUGAUCCAAGAAUGGAUCACAGGACAGCGGUCAAAGUUAUCCUUAGUAACUAGUGGACUAAGAAAUUUUCUCGAUUAUGGAGGUGGUAAAAGAGUUCGUCGUAAAGGGUUACGCCGAUGCAAACUUUGACACUAAUCCAGAUUAUUCUGAGUAGUAAACUGGAUUCAUAUAGUAGAACAUUUAUUUGGAAUAGCUCCAAAUGUAGCGUAGUAGUUGCAUCUACAAGAUGACAUAGAAAUUUGCGAAGUACAUACGGAUCUGAAAGAUUCAGACCCGUUGACUAUAACAUCUCUCACAAGCAUAACAUGAUCAAACCCAGAACUCAUCGAGUGUUAAUCACAUGUUAAUGUGAACUAGAUUAUUGACUCUAGUAAACUCUUUGGGUGUUAGUCACAUGGGGAUGUGACCUUGAGUGUUAGUCACAUAGCGAUGUGAACUGGAUUAUUGACUCUAGUGCAAGUGGGAGACUGUUGGAAAUAUGCCCUAGAGGCAAUAAUAAAUUGGUUAUUAUUAUAUUUCCUUGUUUAUGAUAAUCGUUUAUUAUCCAUGCUAGAAUUGUAUUGAUAGGAAACUCAGAUACAUGUGUGGAUACAUAGACAACACCAUGUCCCUAGUAAGCCUCUAGUUGACUAGCUCGUUAAUCAAUAGAUGGUUAUGGUUUCCUGACCAUGGACAUUGGAUGUCGUUGAUAACGGGAUCACAUAAUUAGGAGAAUGAUGUGAUGGACAAGACCCAAUCCUAAGCCUAGCACAAGGAUCGUGUAGUUCGUUCACUAAAGCUUUUCUAAUGUCAAGUAUCAUUUCCUUAGACCAUGAGAUUGUGCAACUCCCGGAUACUGUAGGAAUACUUUGGGUGUGCCAAACGUCACAACGUAACUGGGUGACUAUAAAGGUGCACUACGGGUAUCUUUGAAAGUGUCUGUUGGGUUGGCACGAAUCGAGACUGGGAUUUGUCACUCCGUGUGACGGAGAGGUAUCUCUGGGCCCACUCAGUAGGACAUCAUCAUAAUGUGCACAAUGUGAUCAAGGAGUUGAUCAUGGGAUGAUGUGUUACGGAACGAGUAAAGAGACUUGCCGGUAACGAGAUUGAACAAGGUAUCGGUAUUACCGACGAUCGAAUCUCGGGCAAGUAUCGUACCGCUAGACAAAGGGAAUUGCAUACGGGAUUGAUUGAAUCCUCGACAUCGUGGUUCAUCCGAUGAGAUCAUCGUGGAGCAUGUGGGAGCCAACAUGGGUAUCCAGAUCCCGAUGUUGGUUAUUGGCUGGAGAGUCGUCUCGGUCAUGUCUACGUGUCUCCCGAACCCGUAGGGUCUACACACUUAAGGUUCGGUGACGCUAGGGUUAUAGAGAUAUUAGUAUGCAGUAACCAGAAAGUUGUUCGGAGUCCCGGAUGAGAUCCCGGACAUCACGAGGAGUUCCGGAAUGGUCCGGAGGUAAAGAUUUAUAUGUGGGAAGUCUUGUUUUGGUCGCCGGAAAAGUUUCGCGCAUUAUCGGUAUUGUACCAGGAGUGCCGAAAGGGGUCCGGGGGUCCACCAAAGGGGUCCAUUUGCCCCGGGGGGGCACAUGGGCUGUAGGGGUGUGCGCCUUGGCCUAUAUGGGCCAAGGACACCAGCCCCAAGAGGCCCAUGCGCCAAGAGAUAAGGGAAAGGAAGAGUCCUAAAAGGGGAAGGCACCUCCUAGGUGCCUUGGGGAGGAUGGACUCCUCCCUGGCCGCACCCUUCCUUGGAGGAAGGGCCGAGGCUGCGCCACCCCUCUCCCUUGGCCCUAUAUAUAGUGGGGGGAAGGGAGGGUAGCAACACCUAAGCACUGGCGCCUCCCUCUCCCUCCCAUGACACAUCUCCCUCCUCCCGCAGCGCUUGGCGAAGCCCUGUUGGAAUCCCGUUACUUCCACCACCACGCCGUCGUGCUGCUGGAUCUCCAUCAACCUCUCCUCCCCCCUUGCUAGAUCAAGAAGGAGGAGACGUUGCUGCUCCGUACGUGUGUUGAACGCGGAGGUGCCAUCCGUUCGGCGCUAGGAUCAUGGGUGAUUUUGAUCACGGCGAGUACGACUCCAUCAACCCCGUUCUCUUGAACGCUUCCGCGCGCGAUCUACAAGGGUAUGUAGAUCCACUCCUCCCUCGUUGCUAGAUGACUCCAUAGAUUGAUCUUGGUGACACGUAGGAAAAUUUUGAAUUAUUGCUACGUUCCCCAACACCAAAUGAGGUGCGGUUUUCGGCCACGCGAUCGUGAUCGAAUGACCGAAAGGAUGGAGGACGUUUGGAUGGGUUUUGGGCCACUUUGGAGGGGUGUUGGGCUGCAACACACACAAGGCCUUUACGGUUCCCCGGUUAACAGUUGGAGUAUCAAACGGAGUCCAAAUGGCACGAAACUUGACAGGUGGUCUACCGGUGGUGUACCAAGGACGCUUGGCGAAUCUUGUUCUAUUCCGAGAAUGUUUAACACCCGCACACGAAAAGAGGCAAAAGGAGGCGCCGGAGGACAUAGUAGCGCCGGAUUGCAAAACGGACAACGGGGAAAAAGCUCGGAUGCAUGAGACGAACAUGUAUGCAAAUGAAAUGCACAUGAUGACAUGAUAUGCAAUUCAUGACACGCAAGCCCCUAACAAGGCAACAACAACGAAUAACUGGAAGACACCUGGCACAUCGGUCUCGGGGCGUUACAUAUGGUGAACCGUUAUGUUAAGAAGUCGGAGCAUGAUGUAUUUAUUGAUUGUCCUCCUUAUGAGUGGAGGCCGGGGACGAGCGAUGGUAUUUUCCUACCAAUCUACCCCCCUAGGAGCAUGCACAUAGUACUUUGCUUCGAUAACUAAUAGAUUUUUUCAAUAAGUAUGUGAGUUCUUUAAGACUAAUGUUGAGCCCAUGGAUUAUACGCACUCUCACCCUUCCACCAUUGCUAGCCUCUCUAAUACCGCGCACCUUUCGCCGGUAUCAUACACCCACCAUAUACCUUCCUCAAAACAGCCACCAUACCUACCUAUUAUGGCAUUUCCAUAGCCAUUUCGAGAUAUAUUGCCAUGCAACUUUCCACCGUUCCGUUUAUUAUGACACGCAUCAUCAUUUUCAUAUUGCUUUGCAUGAUCAUGUAGUUGACAUCGUAUUUGUGGCGAAUCCACCGUUCAUAAUUUUUCAUACAUGUCGCUCUUGAUUCAUCGCAAUCCAGGUACACAGCCGGAGGCAUUCAUAUAGAGUCAUAUCUCAUUCUAGUAUCGAGUUGUAAUCUUUGAGUUGUAAAUAAAUAGAAGUGUGAUGAUCAUCAUUAAUAGAGCAUUGCCCCCCCCAAAAGAAAGGCCAAAAAAAGAAAGGCAAAAAAGAAAAAAAGAAAAGAGAAAGGCCAAAUAAAAAAUAAAAAAAUAAAAAUAAAAGGGACAAUGCUACUAUCCUUUUUUUCCACACUUGUGCUUCAAAGUAGCAGCAUGAUCUUCAUGAUAGAGAGUCUCUUGUUUUGUCACUUUCAUAUACUAGUGGGAAAUUUUCAUUAUAGAACUUGACUUGUAUAUUCCAACAAUGGGCUUCCUCAAAUGCCCUAGGUCUUCGUGUGCAAGCAAGUUGGAUGCACACCCACUUAGUUUCUUUUGUUGAGCUUUCAUGCAUUUAUAGCUCUAGUGCAUCCGUUGCAUGGCAAUCCCUACUCACUCACAUUUAUAUCUAUUAAUGGGCAUCUCCAUCCCCGUUGAUAUGCCUAGUUGAUGUGAGACUAUGUUCUCCUUUCUGUCUUCUCCACAACCACCAUUCUAUUCCACCUAUAGUGCUAUAUCCAUGUCUCACGCUCAUAUAUUGCGUGAAGAUUGGAAAAGUUUGAGAACAUCAAAAGUAUGAAACAAUUGCUUGGCUUGUCAUCGGGGUUGUGCAUGAUUUAAAUACGUUUUGUGGUCAAUAUGGAGCAUAGCCAGACUAUAUGAUUUUGUAGAGAUAACUUUCUUUGUCCAUGUUAUUUUGAAGAGACAUAAUUUCUUAGUUAGUAUGCUUGAAGUAUUAUUAUUUCUAUGUCAAUAUUAAACUUUUGUCUUGAAUCUUAUGGAUCUGAAUAUUCUUGACACAAUAAAGAAGAAUUACUUAGAGAAAUAUGUUAGGUAGCAUUCCACAUCAAAAAUUCUAUUUUAAUCAUUUACCUACUUUAGGACGAGCAGGAAUUAAGCUUGGGGAUGCUGAUACGUCUCCAACGUAUCUAUAAUUUUUGAUUGUUCCAUGCUAUUAUAUUAUCAACCUUGGAUGUUUUAUAUGCAUUCAUAUGCUAUUUUAUAUGAUUGUUGGGACUAACCAAUUAACCUAGAGCCAGUGCCAGUUUCUAUUUUUCCCUUGUUUCAGUGUUUCACAGAAAAGGAAUAUCAAACGGAGUCCAAACGGAAUGAAACCUUCGGAAAAGUUAUUUUUGGAAAGAAAGCAAUACAGGAGACUUGGAGUGCACGUCAGGGGAUCAACGAGGAGAGCACGAGGCAGGGGGCGCACCCACCCCCUGGGCGCGCCCUCCACCCUCGUGGGCCCCUUGUGGCUCCCCUGAUGUAUUUCUUCCGCCUAUAUAUAUCCAUAUACCCUAAAACUAUCAAGGAGCACAAUAGAUCGGGAGUUCCGCCGCUAGAAGCCUCCGUAGCCACCGAAAACCAAUCUAGACCCGUUCCGGCACCCUGCCGGAGGGGGAAUCCCUCUCCGGUGGUCAUCUUCAUCAUUCCGUUGCUCUCCAUGACAAGGAGGGAGUAGUUCUCCCUCGGGGCUGAGGGUAUGUACCAGUAGCUAUGUGUUUGAUCUCUCUCUCUCUCUCUCGCUCUCGUGUUCUUGAGGUGAUACGAUCUUGAUGUAUCGUGAGCUUUGCUAUUAUAGUUGGAUGUUAUGAUGUUUCUCCCCCUCUACUCUCUUGUAAUGGAUUGAGUUUUCCCUUUGAAGUUAUCUUAUCAGAUUGAGUCUUUAAGGAUUUGUGAACACUUGAUGUAUGUCUUGCGUGGGAUACCUGUGGUGACAAUGGGGUAUUCUAUGAUCCAUUUGAUGUAUGUUUUUGUGAUCAACUUGCGGGUCCCGUGACCUUGGGAAUCUAUGCAUAGGGGUUGGCACACGUUUUCGUCUUGACUCUCCUUUAGAAACUUUGGGGCACUCUUUGAGGUUCUAUGUGUUGGUUGAAUAGAUGAAUCUGAGAUUGUGUGAUGCAUAUCGUAUAAUCAUACCCACGGAUACUUGAGGUGACAUUGGAGUAUCUAGGUGACAUUAGGGUUUUGGUUGAUUUGUGUCUUAAGGUGUUAUUCUAGUACGAAUUCUAGGGCUGUUUGUGACACUUAUAGGAAUAGCCCAACGGAUUGAUUGGAAAGAAUAACUUUGAGGUGGUUUCGUACCCUACCAUAAUCUUUUUGUUUGUUCUCCGCUAUUAGUGACUUUGGAGUGACUCUUUGUUGCAUGUUGAGGGAUAGUUAUAUGAUCCAAUUAUGUUAUUAUUGUUGAGGGAACUUGCACUAGUGAAAGUAUGAACCCUAGGCCUAGUUUCAACGCGUUGCAAUACCGUUUGUGCUCACUUUUACCAUUAGUUACCUUGCUGUUUUUAUAUUUUCAGAUUACAAAAACCUUUAUCUACCAUCCAUAUACCACUUGUAUCACCAUAUCUUCGCCGAACUAGUGCCCCUAUACAAUUUACCAUUGUAUUGGGUGUGUUGGGGACACAAGAGACUCUUAGUUAUCUGGUUGCAGGGUUGCUUGAGAGAGACCAUCUUCAUCCUACGCCUCCUAUGGAUUGAUAAACCUUAGGUUAGCCACUUGAGGGAAAUUUGCUACUGUCCUACAAAACUCUGCACUUGGAGGCCCAACAACGUCUACAAGAAGAAGGUUGUGUAGUAGACAUCAUCCAUGUCAAGUAGACCAACUCCUUCCUGUAUCUACUAUUGUUACUCAACACAUCGACAGACUCCUUCCUGCAUCUAGAGUAUUAAGUUCAUAGAACAAAGUAACACAUUAAGUAAGAUGACAUGAUGUAGCAGGGUAAACUCAAGCAAUAUGAUGAAAACCCCAUCUUGUUAUCCGCGAUGGCAACAAUACAAUAUGUUCCUUGCUGCUCAUACUGUCACUGGGAAAGGACACCGCAAGAUUGAACCCAAAGCUAAGCACUUCUCCCAUUGCAAGAAAAACCAAUCUAGUUGUCCAAACCAAAUCGAUAGUUUGAAGAGACUUGCAAAGAUAUCAAAUCAUGCAUAUAAGAAUUCAGAGAAGAUUCAAAUAAUAUUCAUAGAUAAGCUGAUCGUAAAUCCACAAUUCAUCGGAUCUCGGCAAACACACCGCAAAAAGGCAUUACAUCGAAUAGAUCUCCAAGAACAUCGAGGAGAACAUGGUAUUGAGAAUCAAAGAGAGAGAAGAAGCCAUCUAGCUAAAAGCUAUGGAUCCGUAGGUCUAAGGUAAACUACUCACGCUUCAUCGGAGAGACAAUGGUGUUGAUGUAGAAGCCCUCUGUGAUCGAAUCCCCCUCUAGCAGGACGCCGAAAAGGCCCCUACAUGGGAUCUCACGGGUACAAAAGGUUGUGGCGGUGGAAAAGUGUUUUCGUGGCUCCCCUCAUUGGUUUUCGAAUAUUUGAGAAUAUAUAGGCGAAAGAAAUAGGUCGAUGGAGUCACGAGGGGCCCACAAGGGUGGGGGCGCGCCCUACCCCCUAGGCGCGCCUUCCGUCCUUGUGGCUACCUCGUGGCUUCCCUGACUUGCACUCCAAGUCCUCUAGAUGUCUUCUGGUCCAAUAAAAAUCAUCAUGAAAGUUUCAUUCCGUUUGGUAUUUCUUUUCUCUAAAACUCUAAAACAAGGAAAAAAAUAAACUGGCACUGGGCUCUCGGUUAAUAGGUUAGUCCCAAAAAUAAUAUAAAAUAACAUAUUAAUGCAUAUAAAACAUCCAAAACAGAUAAUAUAAUAGCAUAGAACAAUAAAAAUUAUAGAUACGUUGGAGACGUAUCACCCCACGCUCAGACCGGUCUGGCCGUGCCGAGUGAUAAUGGAUCCAGUGGGGGCACGCUGAGUGCACCCACUGGGUGUAGUCCCCGAGACCAUCGUCGAAUGUUUGAUUCGGCGGGGGUUUGAGAAAUCUAUCUUCUUUUUUUUACUCCCCACCUGCGCCACUUAGGCUAAGACCGAGUGGAAAUGGAUCCAGUGGGGGCACGCUGAGUGCACCCACUAGGUGUAGUCCCUGAGACCGCUAUUGAAUGUUCAAUUUAGCGGGAGUCUUAGAAUUUCUUGCUUGUAGCAACUGGAUUUGCUCUUCUCUACCCGGAAGUAGAGGAAUAUCUGAAAACCUUUACCAUUGUCGAUUGAAUUGUUUCUUCAUUGAUCUCAGGAAACUUGUGAGCUUGGGAAUCAGUAUGCUGUCCAGGAGAAGGAGAAGAUCCAACUCCAAUAGGACUUGGAACUGACCAAAAAUAACUUGGAGCAUGCUCAGACGGAGGCAAAGACCAUGUGAGGUAAAUCCUGUCGACUGUAUGCACUGUUGUUCUUUUCUUUUGUCCUUUGAGCCGAGUAGUUUUACUCGAACAGAUGUGCGUAAUGAGAACCAUCAAUUUCAAGCGCGAAUGAGGAAUGUUAUUUCUUUAGACACCAUGAAGCAGGCCCUGGAAAAGAAGGAUGAAGAACUCACGGGCGCUUAGAAGGUGGGUAAGGAGAAGACUGAAGUCGCUGAGGCUAAGCUAGCUUCAGUCGAAAAGUUGGAGGGGGAAAAUGCAUCUCUGAAGAAUGUUGUUGAAGAGCUCAAGAAAGAAUGGGCCGAGUGGGCCAAGAAGAUCGAAGAUCAGGCGAGUGCUUUUGAGCUGGAGAAGACCACUCUGACUGAAAAAGUGGACCAGCUUACUGAGGAGAGGGACGCAUUGGAGAAAUAUCUAUGAGGCCUCGUGAAGAAUAUGUAUGGCAUGCUUGAAGGUACUUUUCUUUGCUUGAGAGAAAUUCCGUAACAUCUCAAAAGUAAUGGCAUAACUGAUCUUUCCCUCCCUCAUUGUGCAGAGUUUUUUCAGGAUUUCAGGCUAGAGACUGACCAGAUCGAGACGGAUCUGGACCCCACCAAGUCGCUCGUCAAAGAUGCGGUGGGUCUGAACAUGCUACAGCUUGAGGCCCGUCUUAAUGAAGUCUGGGGGUACAUCACUCGCUUGAGGACCACGCUGGCGAAUAUAGACAAAGAACUGUGACUUGAGGAUGCACUUCAGAAUGACUUCGAGUCGAUGAUGACUCGGCUCAAUGAAAUUCCUAGCCGAGUGCAAUCAUGGAAGAAGUCUGCCGCCUGCUGCAGGGCUAAUGUGGCUGACGGUGUCCUGGACUAGGGGGUACUCACCACGUCGUCUACCGAUCUAUUACAUUGGGCCGAGGCCCCCCAUGGUCGUAUACUCAUGUACCAGUUCGGACAGCUGCCGCAUACAAGGAAGAUUCCGCAAAGACUUGGCGAUCAUGACAAGGACUUCUCCCCACCGGCAUAUUCGGCUAGGACUCUUGUUAACCUAGGCCUCUGGUGCAUUAUAUAAACCAGGGCCAGACUAGUCGAUAGAAGAGACAACAUACAGAACAACAAUCAUACCAUAGGCUAGCUUCUAGGGUUUAGCCUCUCCGAUCUCGUGGUAGAUCUACUCUUGUACUACCCAUAUCAUCAAUAUUAAUCAAGCAGGAUGUAGGGUUUACCUCCAUCAAGAGGGCCCGAACCUGGGUAAAACUUCGUGUCCCUUGCCUCAUGUUACCAUCCGGCCUAGACGCGUAGUUCGGGACCCCCUACCCGAGAUCCGCCGGUUUUGACACCGACAUUGGUGCUUUCAUUGAGAGUUCCGUUGUGUGAUCGACAAAAGGAUCGAUGGCUCGACUGCAAAUCAACUGCGACUUCGGCAUCUUCGUCACCAGCUCGACUGGUCACCUUGGUUCGACCAAGAACUGCGCCCCGUGUUCGGAUCACCAUGUUCGGUCGAGGGCCUUAUUCAAACAUCAACUCCGAUCUCUAUCAGAUCAUGGAGGAAAUCAUCCAUGGAGCUCGGGGGCUCAACGUCAACAUUAUCCUCAAGCGACCGUGCUGUUUUUCUGGACAGCGAACUCGUAUCUACCGCCACCACCUCCUCAAGUAUCGCUUUGACGAUCGCUUUGGUGGAAUUGUGCGGAACUGAGUCUACAACAACCCUGCAAAAUUUCGUCGAGUUCCGAUGGAGGAAUCUCUGGCAAUCCACAAUAUACCGGAGCCCUGUCAAAUCUGGAUGGGAAUCUGGAUGAGUUUAGGGCGUGGUGUCCAGCUUCUAGCUUGGACGUCCUUUGGAAGAUCCAACCGUUGAUCGGCUGCGAAAUUCCUAUAUCUACCACCUCUCAAAAUUUCAGCUCGAUCCGACCGUCCAAACUCCGGGAACCUUCCGAUUAGUGCAUCACUUUUCGGAUUUGUUUUCUGCGCGAAAACGAAUCCGACCCGAGUUCGUCUUUUUUAUGAACGGGAUUUCGGACAUCCCUUUUGAAGGAAGUUUUGUAUGGGAUAUUGUGUUUUGUUACCGAACACAUCCCACUAACUUUAAGAUCUUUUGAACAUGAUCUUCAACAUCAUGCUGGUGCCAAACCAGUUCGGUAAUAUUGCUCCACGGCUGCCGACCUGCGCUAGACAUGUCGUCACUUUGUUGAGCCAAGCUCAACUUCUUCGGAUCGUCAUCUCGGCAAGCCGAACAAGAGUACGGCAUCGUGAAGGAUAAAUCAUCACCAACAUCGCCGCCCCACGGAUUACAUGGAGCGGGCAUACCGGCAUCGCCGCACGGUCGCUUCAACAAGCCGGCAUCGACCACAUCACGACCUGCAUCGGCAGGGCCGCACUAUUGCUUCUUCAAGCUGGUGUCCAUCACGCCGACCUACUUCGACCCAUCGGCUGACAUCGAGGCUUCGACAUCUCUUCAUCAACCUACUCCGGACACUUCGGCAUCACUUGCCGAUCAGCUCCGUCACAUUAGCUGGACCGGGGGCUUCGCCAUCUCUUCAUCAACCUACUCCGGACACUUCGGCGUCACUAGCCGACCAGCUCUGUCACGUUAGCUGGACCGAGGUCUUUGCCUCGGCGAGCCAACCUUUGCCAGCAUUGCCAAGCCUUCGUUUUAUCACCCAUCAGGCAAUGGGUGUGCGGAUCGACUCCCAAUUUUGGGAACCACCUUCCUUCGGAUUGCUACAACAAAUAAACCAGGUGCUAUUAAUCCCAGUAUUUUUUGCUUGUUUGGGUUCAUUUUUCCCAAGAAUUAUUACUCUGGUUUGUCCAUGAUAUGUACACAGGUCUAUCAAACGGUGACCGAAUUAGCGAUGGUCGCGUGGUGGUUCGAUCAGUUUCCGUACAUAGUCCGGCGAACGCCGCAUCCGGAGCUCGGACCGACCUGUGAAUUCAGGCUUUACCACGCCUUUACUACACCACGCCGACGCCCUGCAUCGACAUUGACUUCGGCGCCAGGCCAUAUUUCUUCUAUUCCUCACUUUGCAUAAAUUAUUUAUUAUGCAACAUUUUUUAAUUAUCAUUAUUACUAUUAUCUCCGGUUUGCACUAUUUUUUGUGCAUAUGAAAAUGAUCCGGGGACUUCGGCGUCACUCUGCCGGUCUGCAUUGACCGUGCUAUGUCACCACUUCGGUGUGUCGAGCUCUCCGCUCCGCCACCUCGGGACCAGCUUGGGGGAUGGAACCUUGCCCCGCAUCAAGCUCGGACCGCGUCAUCAAUACCGAACACAUUAACCAGCUAAGUCGCUUUCAUGCUCAAAGCUUUAAUUUCUAACUUGUGUUUGGUUCGACCAAGCAUUAUAAUUUUUUGGAAAAAAGUUGCUUGUAAAAAAUUUCCUUGUCCAAACUUUGUUUGUGACGCAUAAAUUCAAAUACCCAAUUCAUUUGGGGGCUUCCUUCAUGAAGCUUUUCCACUUGCAUAUGAUUAUACUUGUACGGCGUCGUUCCUUGUUCGUGUAUUACGCCACAAUAUGCACCAUAUUGACUUAAGCGAUUUGCAAGCUGGGUUGCCUCGCUCCUGUGUUUACCCCUACAUUCCCGAUUGUUCGGCUAGGGAGUAAAGGGAGCACCUCUGCGAUUGUCACGAUCGGGUCGCCGGAGCCGGACCUCAGACUAGGCGAAGCCGAAAGCUAGCGCUCUUAUAGUUUUCAAUGAUGGUCGGCACACAACAGAACUCAUGAGUACAAAAAAUAUAUUGCACAAGUCUCAUAAUAACAAUGAGCACCGAAGAAAGGUAUCAGUGGAGGUACUAUUUUCUUCGAAGAUGCUUCUUACAUUUCACGGUAAUAUAGCAUAAUUCCCUAAGUGCUCUUUGUCUGUUACAGCCUUAUGGCCUGAUUGCUUGGUUAUUGGAAACACCGUCGAUAUUCUCGACCGAUGGAGUACAUAACACUUUUCGGUCCUUGACCGAAGAGGGAGAAGCUGACGGUCGGUUAAGACGCGUUUAAACUUCGGUUGAACAUAGAUAUGAUAUAAGUACUUCGGUACAUGUAAUCCUUCUUCUACCCAAGUCACUUGGGGGCUCUUAAGUUUAUUUGAGCCGUUUUAUAAUAAGUUUUCUUCUUCUUAGUCGUUGCAAAGUUUUUUUAUUAUUAUUUAUCACUCCUUUUUUCGACACGAGUGUGCGGUCACUAUCCGGGGAGCCUAAUUUCUCUCUCAAAACCGAUAGAGUUUAGUUUGUUAAACUGGCCUGAUGAGAAGUACUCUGCCCUCGGGAUAGGAGGUUGAAGCCGUAGGCUGACCCGCUCGAAGUCUUGAGAUAGGAUGUAUCAUGUUAAAGCACGACAGAGGCACUUCUUUUUUUCUUAGACCAACUUUCGGAUUGGCACCGAACACUUGAUAUUGUUCGGACGUCAUGUUUUUACUGACGUUUCUUGGUUUUCCAAGCUUUUUGGCACUUUUAAACUAUUUGUGCUUUUCCAGCAUUAGUCCCGCAGUGCAACGCCGGACACCUUUAGGGAUUCGGCAAAAACAUUCUUAGAUAUUGCUAUAUAUGCAUCGGUUUCGAAUUGUGUGUUUGGUCAAUAGUUGGGUUGCCCGGCUCCUGCACUUGCUUCCUACGUUCUGUUUUCUUCGGCUAGGCGUGCAAAGGGAGAACCACUGCGAUUGUGCUUCCAACUCACAUGGUUAAGCAUCUCAGUGGAGAAAGCCGAAAACUGACUUUCACAAUAAGCAUAAACUGGUCAGUGAUCCGAUGACUAUGUUAAAUGAGGGGCCGUUCAUAACAUUGGCCGAAGUGUUUACGGCUUGACCCCGACUGUCGCCGAACACUACAGGGGGCUAUUAACUGGCCUCCCAAACUAAAUCCUCAAUAUUUUGCUCUUACAUUAGAGCUGAGGUUUAAUGAACAUGCUUAGCAUGACAACCCAAAGAAAGGAACCGAUAGCGGGACUAUUUUCUUUGGAAGACAUUUCUUCUGUUAAACAGUAAUAUAACUCUAUGCGUACCUUUGUUUAUAAAACCGUAUGGCCAGAUUGCCUUGUUUGUUGUAAAUCUUUGCCCUCAUAAAGGCUUUAUAAAGUAGGACAAACACUCCUCGGCCAGGUGGAAGCCGAUGGUCGGUCAACAAAGUUUUGUACAAUGCAGAUCCGAGUAUUAAUGACGUAAAGUACUUGGAUACAUAGAGUCAUUACACAUAAUUUGUGAUUUUACUAUGGAUAUUGAUCCUUAAUUCGGCCCCCCGUGCCUGCAUUAAGGCUCGGGGGCUACUGGGCUUCAGGCUUAUUAUUUACAAAUAUUAAAGGGGCACAUUGAUCCCCUGAUCUGGUGUUACCACCCGACCAGUGUCUCAGGGGCUACUGCAUUGCUUGUCCAAUGUAGAAAAUUUUAUGUGCAAUAUAGUUUCCGAGGAGAUUUUGAUCCUCAGGUUGAUCGGCCGCACCCAACCUGAGUCUCGAGGACUGAGCACGCCGCUUUUAGUGUCCCGAAGUAUUCUGCCAAGCAUGGACUUGAUCCUCAGGCCGAUUUUGCAAAUCAACCUGAGUCUCAGCGGCUACUGGGAUCAGCGGUCUUACGUCAUGCUUCAGGUACAUCUCGGGUUUUAGACCGAUACACACCUUGAGGGCUACUGGCUAUAUAUCUCGCCAGAGAAUAAAUUGCACCAAUAAAAAAUAUUCACAAAAAUCGGCCCACAUUCGGGGUGGUGCACCACCUCAGAAGCAGCCCGGCAUAAAGCUCGGGCGCUAGUGGCUGGCUCCAUAGAGGGCAUUUCCGGCAUUAAGCUCGGCUAAACUCCUUCAAACUUCUUUGAACCAAGGUGAUUUACGACACCUCGGAUAUAGUCUGGCGUUGGAGCUCGGAUACAGUCCGGCGUUGGAGCUCGGAUAUACAGUCCGACGUUGGAGCUCGGAUACAUAGUCCAGCAUUGGAGCUCGGAUACAUUCCGGCGUUAGAGCUGGGAAGCGGUCCGGUGUUGGUACUCGGUUGCAAAAGAUACCUCGAAUACAGUCCAGCGUUGGAGCUCGGACGCAAGAGGAUGCUGCCGCUCGGGAACAACUUCAAACCCGAGGUGUGGCAUAAAAAUAACAAGGCAUUGGUAAAGGCCGGAAACUUAAAGGGGCUCCUCGGAUACCCGACGUGUAAACUCGUCGAAUGCAUUUCGGCGAUCCUCAAGAUCGAAGAUAAAGAAGAUUUGUUGAGCCAGUUUUCAAGACCGACGACCGAAGAUGAAGAACAGUUCGGAAGAAUUGAGGAGCGUCCCUAACUCGAAGACCGGUUCAGGGGGCUACUGACGGUGUCCUGGACUAGGGGGUACUCACCACGUCGUCUCCCGAUCUAUUAGAUUGGGCCGAGGCCCCCCAUGGCCGUAUACUCAUGGGCCAGUUCGGACAGCUGCCGCAUACAAGGAAGAUUCCACAAAGACUUGGCGAUCAAGACAAGGACUUCUCCCACCGGCGUAUUCGGCUAGGACUCUUGUUAACCUAGGCCUCUGGUGCAUUAUAUAAACCAGGGCCAGGCUAGUUGAUAGAAGAGACAACAUACAGAACAACAAUCAUACCAUAGGCUAGCUUCUAGGGUUUAGCCUCUCCGAUCUUGUGGUAGAUCUACUCUUGUACUACCCAUAUCAUCAAUAUUAAUCAAGCAGGACGUAGGGUUUUACCUCCAUCAAGAGGGCCCGCACCUGGGUAAAACUUCAUGUCCCUUGCCUCCUAUUACCAUCCGGCCUAGACGCGCAGUUCGGGACCCCCUACCCGAGAUCCGCCGGUUUUGACACCGACAGUGGCCCUUUCACUUGUCCGUGUCCAUUGCAAAGAUGCUUGGGAGGACAAGCUGAAGGCUCUCCAGGUUGCCAAUAUGAAGAAGCUCAGGUUCGAAGACUUCAUGGAUACUUUCAUCGAGGCAACCACUCGGAUAGCUAAUGACAUUGACCUGGACACCUUCGUCGAGCCAGCGAGCCCCACCGGCUCAUGAAGAAAAACUUUAUGAUUCAAACUUAUUUGCCUCAGAAUCCCGAGUGAUCUUGUAACCAUUAAAGUCGUUCGGGCCUUCUGUCUGAGUACUUUUAUGUGCGUUUGGGAACUUGAGGUUAUGGAUGUACCUGAACAUUGCUUUCUAGUUUACUUCAUACUCCGAGUGAAUGUUUUUUUACUUAGGCGAGGGAUGGUUCACAGCUAAGCCCCCGAGUGGGAGGGAUGCUAUCACUCGGAGUAGUUUUUAACUUAGGCGGGGACUGGCUCGUGGCUAAGCCCCUGAGUGGGAGAAAUGCUCUCACUCGGAGUAGUUUUUUAACUUAGGCGAAGACUGGUUCACAGCUAAGCCCCCAAGUGGGAGGGAUGCUCUCACUCGGAGUAGUUUUUAACUUAGGGGGGGAAUGGCUCGUGGCUAAGCCCCCGAGUGGGACGGAUGCUCUCACUAGGAGUAGUUUUUAACUUAGGCGAGGACUAGCUCGCGGCUAAGCCCCACUGGGGGUUUGGAACAUGCGCUUGCGCAAGUGAAAACAUCCAGGGACUGCAGGAGUCAUAUCUUUGAUAAGCAAAUAUUUCUUAAACUACUCUUAUUACAUGCUGACAAUUGAAGCGUCAAGUAUAAAAUCGACAAAGAAGAUCUGCGUUCCAAGCGUGCGGCUUGUCAAUCUUCUUUGCGUGGUUGUAGAGGUGGUAAGGCUCCAUUGUGCAACACCUUGGUGACGAUGAAAGGGCCUUCCCACGCGGGGGCGAGCUUGUGCAGCCGCUGCUGAUCCACUAGGAGCACAAGAUCUCCUUCUUGAAACGCUCGACCCUUGACAUUCCUGGCAUGGAAUUGACGAAGGUCUUGCUGAUAAAUGGUCGAUCGUAUUAGGACCAUCUCUCGUUCUUACUCCAAAAGGUCGAUGGCAUGCUCCCGCGCCUGCUGAGGGAGUCCUGGGUUAAGGGGUCCUCGGGCAUCCGGACUAUGUAAUGUGGGCCGGACUGAUGGGCCAUGAAGAUACAAGACAGAAGACUCUCCCCCGUGUCCGGAUAGGACUUUCCUUGGCGUGGAUGGCAAGCUUGGCGUUCGGAUAUGAAGGUUCCUUUCUCUGUAACUAACUUUGUAUAACCCUAGUCCCCUCUGGUGUUUACAUAAACUGGAGGGUUUAGUCCGUAGAGGCAAUCAUAAUCAUACAGGCUAGACUUAUAGGGUUUUAGCCAUUACGACCUCGUGGUAGAUCAACUCUUGUAAUACUCAUAUUCAUCAAGAUCAAUCAAGCAUGAUGUAGGGUAUUACCUCCAUAGAGAGGGCCUGAACCUGGGUAAACAUCAUGUCCCCUGUCUCCUAUUACCAUCGACUUUAGACGCACAGUUCGGGACCCCUACCCGAGAUCCAUCGGUUUUGACACCGACAUUGGUGCUUUCAUUGAGAGUUCAUAUGUGACAUCACUAAAAAGCUCGAUGGCUCCGUCAAUCAUCUACAACGAUGCUGCCCUGAGGGAGGUCUUUCUUCCCGGCCAGAUCUUCGUAUUCUGCGGCUUCACACUGCGGGCCAACUUGCUUGGCCAUCUAGAGCAGAUCGACAUGUACACCCCUAGCCAUCAGGUCAGGUUUGGAAGCUUGAACUACGUCACUGAUAUCCGCGGAGACUUGAUCUUCGACGAAUUCAAGCCGCUCCUUGCCACCGCGAUGAACAUGACCUAAAUUUGUCCUCGGACCAUACCCAGGAGAUAGCUCCUGUAAGUGCUCCGGCCCUAGAUACGGAGUAGGUUGCGCCAUCCGAGGAUGUGAAGCUCAACCCCGCCACGGAAGCCACAGACUCAGCGGCGUUGGAGCCGCACACAUACCCAACUUCGAGCGGGAUCUGUGUCAACAGAACCUCGGAUUCGUCCGCGGCCACAGGUUCCGAACCACAUGCAUCCACGUCCGUCGAGCCUGACCAGGCGCCGGUCGUCGAAUUCAGCUCCGCGGACAUCUUCCGGCACUCACCUUUAGGUGAUGUGCUAAACUCAUUAAAAACCCUCUCCUUAGUGGGGGACUCAUAGCCGAAUUAUAUCCGGUUUGAGCUGGGGGCUGAUGACAGGGAAUUUCGCUUCCCACCCACCUCCCACUUAAUAGCCACUGUCGAAGACUUAACCAACAUGCUCGAUUACGGCUCCGAAGACAUCGACAGAAUAGACAACGAUGCCGAAGAGGAGCAGGACCAAAACCCGCCGUUUACCAGAUGCUAGACAGCCACCUCUUCGUAUGACGUGUACAUGGUGGAUACACCCAAACAGAACAACGGCGAUGACAAGGAAGAUAUAGUCGAGGAUAAACCUCCUGAGAUACAGCCAAAGCGCCGACGCCAGCGGCGCCGCUGUAAAUCACGCCGUGGAAAAGACAGCAACACUGGCACAGGAGACAACAACACUCCAGAUAAUGCCGAAGACAGAGAAGACCUCGUCGAGCCAACCUCCGAAUAGGACGAACGGGAAGAUGGGCGAGUCAGCCCAGAUGAACAGGUCGUAAACAAAGACUCGGAAGGAUAGUAAUUAUCUUCCGCUCUCUGAGGAUGAGGUGAGCCUCGGCAACGAGGAUUUUAUUGUGCCCAAUGAACCUCUCGAGGAGGAGCACUUUAAGCGCCGGCUAAUAGCCAAUGGAAGGAGCCUGAAGAAGAAGCAGCAGCAGCUUCAAGCUGGUCAAGAUCUGCUCAACGAUAGAUGGACUAAUGUCCUGGCAGCCAAGGAAUACGGCCUCGAGCGCCCAACCAAGAGUUACCCGAAGCACAAAUUGCUACCUCAAUCUGAUAACGAGGCACUUGAGCCCGUACCAUUAGCAUGCAAUACGGCUGACCGACCACCACGUGGCCGGGACAAAGCGGCAACUCAAGCCGAACACCAUCCCAUACUACCUCGUCGUAAAGGCAGAGAUAAAACAGCUCGGGGAUACACAUAUGACCUGCGGCAGGACCUGGAUAGUAGAGCAGGACAGACCAGAUCGAUCUAUGGAUCGCGUGGGCGUGCCCUGACAUGCGAUCAUGGCUAUCUAGCUGGACGUGACAAGCAUAAUCACGCCCGGGCCGAAAACCGCAGACGGACUCCAUCCGAGCUACGUCGCGACGUGGGCCGAUAUAGAGGCGCCACACACACCCUUUGCUUCACUGAUGAAGUAAUGGAGCAUGAAUUCCCAGAAGGGUUUAAAUCCAUGAACAUCGAAUCAUAUGAUGGGACAACAGACCCCACGGUAUGGAUCGAAGAUUUUCUUCUCCAUAUUCAUAUGGCCUGCAGUGAUGAUCUUCAUGCCAUCAAAUACCUCCCACUAAAACUCAAGGGACCAGCUCGGCACUGGUUGAACAGCUUGCUGAAAAACUCCAUUGGUAGCUGGGAGGACCUGGAAGACGCAUUCUGCGAUAACUUCCAAGGUACAUACGUCUGACCUCCGGACGCCGAUGACCUAGGUCACAUAGUUCAACAACCCAGAGAGUCAGCUAGGAAAUUCUGGACUAGGUUCCUAACUAAAAAGAACCAGAUCAUCGACUGUCUGGAUGCCGAAGCCCUAGUGGCCUUUAAGCAUAGCAUCUGUGAUGAAUGGCUCGCCCGACACCUCGGCCAAGGAAAGCCAAAGUCCAUGGCGGCCCUCACAGCACUCAUGGCCCGCUUUUGCACGGGCGAAGAUAGUUGGCUAGCCCGUAGCAAUAAUAAUGCAAGUGAACCUGGCACCUCUAAAGCCAAGAAUAGCAACGGCAAGCCGCGAUGCAAUAGGCAUAAGCAUCGAAACAAUGGCGACAAUAUGGAUUACACGAUGUUCAAUGCCAGAUUCAGUGGCUCCAAGUCUGGUCAGCGGAGCAAGCCAUACAAGAGGAACAACCCGGACUCUUCCAUCUUGGACCGCAUGAAGGAAGUAUGCCCUAGAGGCAAUAAUAAAGUUGUUAUUUAUAUUUCCAUAUAUCAUGAUAAAUAUUUAUUAUUCAUGCUAGAAUUGUAUUAACCGGAAACUUAGUACAUGUAUGAAUACAUAAACAAACAGAGUGUCACUAGUAUGCCUCUACUUGACUAGCUCGUUAAUCAAAGAUGGUUAAGUUUCCUAGCCAUGGACAAAGAGUUUUCAUUUUAUAAGAGGGAUCACAACAUUAGAGAAUGAUGUGAUUGACUUGACCCAUCCGUUAGCUUAGCAUGAUGAUCGUUAUAGUUUCAUUGCUACUGCUUUCUUCAUGACUUAUACAUGUUCCUUAGACUAUGAGAUUAUGCAACUCCCAAAUACCGAGGAACACCUUGUGUGCUAUCAAACGUCACAACGUAACUCGGUGAUUAUAAAGAUGAUCUACAGGUGUCUUCGAUGGUGUUUGUUGAGUUGGCAUAGAUCAAGAUUAGGAUUUGUCACUCUGAGUAUCGGAGAGAUAUCUCUGGGCCCUCUCGGUAAUGCACAUCACUAUAAGCCUUGCAAGGAAUGUGACAAAUGAGUUAGUUAUGGGAUGAUGCAUUACAAAAUGAGUAAAGAGACUUGCCGAUAACGAGAUUGAACUAGGUAUUGAGAUACCGACGAUCGAAUCUCGAGCAAGUAACAUACCGAUGACAAAGGGAAUAACGUAUAUCAUUAUGCGGUUUGACCGAUAAAGAUCUUCAUAGAAUAUGUAGGAACCAAUAUGUGCAUCUAGGUUCCGCUAUUGGUUAUUGACUGGAGAUGAGUCUCGGUCAUGUCUACAUAGUUCUCGAACCCGUAGGGUCCACACGCUUAACGUUUUGUGACGAUUUGUAUUAUGAGUUAUGUGAUUUGAUGACCGAAGUUUGUUCGGAGUCCCGGAUGAGAUCGAGGACAUGACGAGGAGUCUAGAAAUGGCCGAGAUGUAAAGUUCGAUAUAUUGGAAGGCUAUAUUCGGACAUUGGAAAGGUUCCGAGUGAUUUGGGUAUUUUUCGGAGUACCGGAGAGUUACGGGAAUUCGUAUUGGGCCUUAAUGGGCCAUACGGGAAAGGAGAGAAAGGCCUCAAGGGUGGCCGCGCCUCUUCCCAAUGGAUUGGUCCGAAUUGGACUAGGGAAAGGGGGCUCUAUCGGUGUCAAAACCCACGGAUCUUGGGUAGGGGGUCCCGAACUGUGCGUCUAAGGUCGAUGGUAACAGGAGACUAGGGACAUGAUGUUUACCCAGGUUCGGGCCCUCUUUAUGGAGGUAAUACCCUACAUCCUGCUUGAUUAAUAUUGAUGUGUAUGAGUAUUUCAAGAGUUGAUCUACCUCGAGAUCGUAAUGGCUAAACCCUAGAGGUCUAGAUUGUAUGGCUAUGAUAAUGAAUAUCCUAUCCGGACUAAGUCCUCCGGUUUAUAUAGACACCGGGAGGAUCUAGGGUUACACAAGGUCGGUUACAAGGAAUGGAAUCUAUAUAUCCGGUCGUCAAGCUUGCCUUGCACGCCAAGGAGAGACCCAUCCAGACUUAGGUGCAGUCUUCGGUCUUCGUAUCUUCACAACCCAUCAGUCCGGCCCAUGGCUAACAGGUUGGACGCCCGAGGACCCCUUAGUACAGGACUCCCUCAGUAGCCCCUGAACCUGGCUUCAAUGACAAGGUAUCCGGCGCGUAGUGCUGUCUUCGGCAUUGCAAGGUAGGUUCCUCCUCCCGAACCCCAAAAUAGUCUUUGGAUGAAUUGAUUGUGUCCGGACCUGUAACAUACAACCGUAGAGCGUAUAGUAUUGUAUGAAUCCAAUCUGCUGACAACUUUUAGUAAUGUGACGUCACGCUUCUCGGUUAUUAUUUCGAACUGUUUCCCGUCCCGCUGUCCCACUUUUCGGGGCGUGGUUGUCAUUGACACGUCUUGUCGAAGCAGAGAUCGUGUCCUCUAAUUGCGGGAUUUUCAUCAAUACAAGCGUGGGUAACACAACCGUCCUGCGGGAAAGAUUCCUUAGGAAUAGGCAUGUUCUUAGGCUUGGGAGGAGGCGUUUAAUACCCGCUGCCUUUAUAAAGGAACCAAGGGCCGUCUUUUAUGCCAAACCUUUCCUCAGCCUUCCUGAACUCGAGUUAUAGCACCCAAGGUUCGACUUCAUCGUUUCAAGCCUCCCAUCAUGUCCGGACCCAGCGCCCAAGGCUGAUGGGAGACUUCCUCCGUCACGGAGGAGGAUAUCGCAAAGCUUCGGGUUGCCAGAUAUUUGACCGCGGAGGUGCACCACCGGCUUCCUACUCAAGGAUAGGUUAUUCCGACCCCCAGAUCUGGCGAGAGGGUCGUAUUCAUCUCCCACUUCCUCCGGGGGCUCGGGUUUGCUCUUCAUCCCUUCGUCCGGGGGCUAAUGUUUUAUUACGGACUAGAUUUUCAUGACCUAGCCCCGGACUCUAUCCUCCACAUCUUGGUGUUUAUCAUUACAUGUGAGGCCUUCCUCCGAAUCCUCCCACACUUCGGCUUAUGGCUCAAGACCUUCAGUGUGAAGCCGAAGGUAGUCGACGGGGAACAGGUGGAGUGCGGCGGUGCUACGAUCAGCCAAUUAACCAGCACUACUUGGACAAAAGGUUCUUUCACCGAAACUUCCAAUCACUGGCAACGGGAGUGGUUUUACAUUAUGGAGCCCCGCAGCACCAAGUGAGUAGCUGCACCCACAUUCCGUCCUGGCCCACCGUUACAGCUUGCAUCAUGGGUCAACAAGGGGCUGGACUGGGGAUCAGUUGAUGAAGUGUAGACUUUACAGAGCCGCAUCCGAACCCUCCUCGAGAGAGACAUCGAUCUUGUUAAUGUGAUCCAAGUGAUGUUAGUUCGCCGAAUCCUGCCGUGCCAGUGCAGGUCUCGUCCACUACAAAAAAACACUUCCGUGAUGAUACGUGUUUGUCAUAGUAGGUCACAUUUUCUGUCAUGCAUGUACAUCCAUGAAAAAUUUAGAUAGUCAUACCUAUGCUGUCAUAGAAGUGUUCCAUGACAUUACCAAAAUUAUCAUCACAGAAGUGUCCACUUCCAUGAUGAUAAAUCGCGCAUCACAGAAGUGCUUUCGCUAAGGGUGACCGACACGUGGCAUCCACCAUAACGGAACGCCGUUAAGCUAUCGGGUCCGGUUUUGGAUCUGAUAAACCGUUAACAGCCCCGACCAAUGGGGAUUUUCCACGUGUAAAAUCAUCAUUGGCUGGAGGAAACACGUGUUGGCUCACCGUUGGGAUAGAUGUCAUCCACUCAUUGGACCCAAAGCGCCUAUGAUACGUCGACAUGUGGCACGGCCCAACAGAGGCCCAUAUAGGGUAAAAAGGCCGGCCCAGUCAAAGGCUCGUAGUACUUACUCAGGUACUAGUGGGCCAGCCCAAUAAUGGCCUGCUUAAUAAAGGCACAUUUACGGCCCGAAGCCAGAUCUAGCCCGUUAAUUGUUCACCGAAUAUUUGGGCCCAUUUACGGCCUGAAGCCAGAUCUGGCCCGUUAAUUGUUCGCCGAAUAUUUGGGCCCAAUUAUAGCCCAGUGACUUUCGGCAUGUUAGAGGCCCGAUGUAGACGUGGGCCCAUUUCAGCCCGGUGUGACUUUCGGCCUGGGAAUGGCCCGUGCUACCCAUGGGCUAUAUAUGGUCUGACAGGACAUCGGGCCCACUAACGGCCCGUGAUAAAGGUGGCAACAAUUAAGCCCAACGUGACUUUGGGCCUGUUAAAGGCCCGUCACAUAAUUCGGCCUCUUGAUGUAUGUACUAAGCUUUCGACCUCUUAAAGGCCCAUGAUAUCAGUGGGCCCACUAAGGCCCGAGAUAUGUUUUGGGUUGGUAACUGCCCGUGAUAUAACUGGGCCCAAAAAGGCCCGGUCUACAUUUCAGCCUGCUAAAGGCCCGUCGAUGACUAGUGAAAAUUGAGGCCCAAUAUGCAUUUUGGCCUGCUAAAGGCCCAUGGUUUCAUCUAGGCCGUAAGAGGCCAGUACAAUAUUCAGCCUGUUAAUGGCCCAACACAACCUGGGCCAAACUAAGCACUGGGUCCACAAAAGGCCCAACUAAAAUAUAGGCCUCUAUAAGUUAUGGGCCUCGCGCAAAGUGUGAAGGCCCCAAUGAUUCGGGCCCAUGAAAGAUGUAGGCCGGCCCAAUUGUGGCCUGCUAAACACCAGGCCCAUUAGAGGCAAAUGUUUCGGCCCGGUUGACUACAUCUGAUUUUUUUCCAGAUAGCGAAUGAUGGCAGUAACUAGUAGGAAUUAAGAACAAACCUACUCUAUAAAAUAAAGAAAUUACAGCAUAGUAACUAAGAAUAAACCUACACUAUACAAUAAAGGAUUUAUGGUAUAUUACAUCCACUGGGCAUCGAAGUUCUCCACCAGUGAUCAUAACGCGCAACGAAGAAGCAGAUUACAAAAACUGGGCACCAUUGCAGCGUAACAAAAUAAUACUGAACCAAUACCACUUCCAAGAAAGUUCAAGAAAGGUUAGCCUUGCGCGGGAACUGCUGCACAAGCUGCCAAGCAAGGCUGUGAGACCGGGCUAGCAUGCCGGUCAUAGCUUCUAGGUGUAGCUUUUUAGCGAUGAGGUUCUCAUUGGUGUUCUCCGCAAUCUUUCUUAGAGAUAGGACUUCAAGUCGAAGUUGAGUUGCAGAAUGCCUUUCUGCUAGAACUUGGGACUGAAGAAGUCGAACUGAUUUAGACAACGAAUUCUGUGAGCUUGUCUGACUGCUAGUCUCAAGUAACUUGAACACUGCAUCAAGACAAGACUUUGGGGUUGUCUUGCUAUCUUCAAGAUGUUUUGCCUUCUUUCCUGCAAUAUAUGUUGGGUUUGUCUCACAGCCUUCAGCAGACUUGUGCAUCCCAUUAGGCAUAUCACCCUGAAACAAAGCAGAGAGAUGACAUGUUUUGCACGUGUAUAAACAAAGAUGAUAACUGUGCUGUCAAUUCCAUCCAAUUUCAAAUUAGAAAAUAAAGAGUAAGUUCAAAAUAUCAAUAGCAUAACUUGGCAUUCUUCAUAAUGCAGGGAGCUUCACCACACUACUGGAUUAGCAUGUCAACAUAACAAGCAUAGAUGAAGGGCAAAGAAAAUCAUUGUAUCUAUUUUGGUUAAUGUGCAUGGCAUGUUGUUCAUAUCAUCAGCCAUCAGUAAGAUAAAACAGGAGAUGAAAGGUGCAAACGUGGGCUGCUUCACCACACACUAGAUUAUAGAUCCACAAAAACAAGCAUACAUAUAGGGAGUAUUGAGUAAUGUGCAUGGUAUGAACAAGGAAUUUGGUUUUACAAGUAAAACUUAGAACUUACGGUUCUUGCAAACAUGCAUUCUGGUAGAAACAACAAACUAAACAGCAGUAAAUGAUUGGGAGUAUGAGUAAAUUAAACAUCAGUUGAGGAUAAAGGCUUUAGAAGGACUGACUUACAUUAACAGUUAACACCAGCUUUAUAAUGCCCUUCUCCAUGUCAAGGGAAGGAUAACUCAAGAAUUUCAGCACAAAAUCUUCUUCAUAAGCAUUGCCUGUACUCUACAUUUUGUAGAGAGUAAUUAUAGAUAUGAUAAUACUGGAAGGGAUAGAGGAUAAUGAAGAUAAGAUGUAGAUUGAUGCUACAUAAUCAACUACCAAUCCCUGAAAGUACAAGCAUUACAGGACAAAAUGUACUGACAAGAGCAAUGGGCUACACUUCUGCACUGGCAUUGUCUGUGUAUUCUACUUUUUGGUAAGAUUAAAUAUAGAUCUGAUCUUUUUUAGUAAAUGGUAGGUGAGGGAGAUAAGAUGCAGAAUGCUACACAAUGAACCAAUCCCUUUUCCCAUAAUACAAGAGUGUUUUGAACACUGGUGUACUAUACAAAAUGUUCUUAUAUUAUGGGAUGGAGGGAGUAGCUGUUAAUCUAAGUACAGUGAUAGACGACGUUUAGUCCUUACAAGAGGACUGCAGAGCUAAACCUCUUCAAAAGCAUUGGGUUGAUUCUAAAUUUAUGUAAGAGUCCAUACAGAUCUUAUAAUGUCCACCAAAUGGACGAUAAUGAGGCUAACAUGUGCAGUGAUGCUACAUAAUCAAACAACUAUGAAAGUAAGUAUGGUCAUACAGGGCAAGAGGUACUCACAAGAGCAAUGCAAUGUGUAGUAUAGUUGUGAGAUUCUGUGGUCCCUUGAGAAUGAAUGUUCUUCUGCUAAUAGUUUUCGUACAAGUGAGACGUUAAGGCAAAUGCAGAAAUGUAGUUCAAAUUGUGAUGUGAUAUCAUAGAUAGUACCUUACUGUCGGUGGGAAACGACACCUAUGGGAUCACAAGGAUCCCUACUACGUUUGCCGGGGCGUGGAGUCGUGAGAAGAGCGGGAUUAACAGUGAGCGCAAGGAUCGUUUACCCAGGUUCGGGCCGCAAGGAUGCGUAGAACCCUAGUCCUGCUUUGGUUGAUGUAUUGAGUGUUCUUGGGCUUUCGAACUAGCUACGGUGUCUGUGUAGUUCAAAAGAGCCGAAUCCCUCUCUAGUACGCCAUGGGCCUCCUUUUAUAGUCGAAAGGGGCUGCCACAGUGGCACACAGGAGGUGAAAAGGCCUACAGUACUGCGAGCUUAUCGCCCGUACACUACUAGGGAAAAGCUUAUAGACAGACGCUUACUAGUAGCGAGGGUUUACACCCCUCGCUACUACUACUUACUAGUAGCGCGGGUUUUUACCCCUCGCUACUACUAAGUUGAUAAUAGUAGCGCGGGUUUUAACCCUCGCUACUACUAAGCGGUCUCUGCCGUGCCCCUCUGGAACAUGCCAUAGUAGUAGCGAGGGGUAUAAACCCGCGCUACUACUAAGAUGUUAGCAGUAGCGCGGGUUUAUAACCCUCGCUACUACUAAGUGGUCUCUACCGUGCCCACCCGGGACAUGCCAUAAUAGUAGCGAGGGGUAUGAACCCGCGCUACUACUAUCGACCCACCAAAACAUAUGUACACAUAGCAUGUGGAAGCCCAAAUCCAAACCCACACUUAUCCGAUUCCCCUUCUCCUCCCACUCGCCAUUCCCUUCCUCACCCACCACCACUGUCGGCCUCGCGUCUUGCCGCCACUCACAAAUCCGUCGACCUCCUCUCACAGAGCCCUCCCCUCCUCCUCCAUCCUCCUUCUUCUCCGCUGUUGGAAGGAGAGGGAAACCAGCAGAGUGUCGUACACAUGGUGGUGGUCAGAUCCACCAUGGACGCAGCCACUUGCACCUCCUCGACGGGUCAAGGGUCCCACGACAAGAAGCAGUAGGUAACCGAGCUUCAUCUAGGGUUUUGGGCAUCGGCUCCAACUCCGGUGGCCACCGGUGAGUUCCUCCUCCUGCUGCUCUCUAUCUCUCCCUUCCUCUUUCUAAUAAUUUUCUCUUCUUUUGUAGCAGCAGUAGACGAGAGAUGCGGGCACAAGUUGGGUGCACCAUCACCACGAACAACUUCAUCCCCUCCAGGACCAGUAGCAACCAUGAAUGUAGAGGAUGAUGACGCCGAGCAGAAGCAGCCGCCAUGGCUGAAAUUAAUUUUUUUAAUUCUGAAUUGGUUAGUAGUAGCGCGGGGCCUUGACCGGUGCUGCAACUAAGUAGUAGUAGCGCGGGUGGCAACCGCGCUACUGCUACUAGAAGUAGCAGUAGCGCGGGUACCACCCUCGCUACUGCUAAAAGUUAGCUGUAGCGCCCUAGCAAUAGCGCAGGCCCCAACGCUACUGCUAGAAAUUACCCCGCGCUACUACUAGGAUUUUCCCUAGUAGUGGUAUUACAGGACAAGACACAUUUAAUGCAUCGCUUAGGUGUCCCUUUGCUUUAUCGGGGACGGGAACGGGGCCCGUCCCAUCCAUCGCCGCUUCGCCUCGCUUCGACACGCGCCCUGGCUAGCGAUGCAUGCAACGCCAUGUAGACAGGCAAGCAGCUGAGGUGGCGCAGUGGUAGGGCCUUCAAGAAGGUCUGCACGCCGCCACGCAGGUGCUUACUGAUUUGGCCUGGAAGUUGCAUGUUGCCACGUAGGUGCCUGCCCAGCUGGUUGGGCUGGCAGCUGCAUGUGAACGGCGGCGGAGUCUUCGCUGGUGCAGGCCUGGUAGUGGCCCUGCUGAUGCCCUCGGCAAGGGCCUUGCCGGGGGUCCGGCAAGGGUCUUGCCAUGGCGCGCAGUCGUCCCCGGCAAGGGUCUUUCCGGGGGUCUUGUGGCUUUCCUCGGCAAGGGUCUUGCUGAGGGCUGUUGUCUUCUAAUCCUCAUCUGAUCUUGAGUGUUCUCUAUCUUCACAAAGAUCUGCAUGCCACCAUGGAGGUGCCUCCCAAGCGCUGACCCAAUGUGGUUGAUGGUGUUGGAAACCGUGGGCUCAAGGGUGGCGCGCUCCGCUGGUGUUGGGCGAGCUGCCUCGACAAGGGUCUUGUCGGGCCCGUUGAGGCUACCUCAGCAAGGGCCUUGCCGGGGGAACCUACUUCGUCCCUCUGCUCUUUGUGCUCUCGGCCUUGGCAUUGUCUUGUUUGCCUUGGUGCUUCAGCUUCUCUCCGGCUUCCCUCCUUUGCCCCGCCAAGUGUGGCCGCGGCCCGUGGCUCUGACUGCCCGUGCACAAGUAAAGGGGUCAAAAGGAGAGCCCCUACUUUUGUACACCGACAGGAGCUCCCAGGCCUGGGCCAUACAUAAGCGCGAUGCGUUGUUGGGCUAUGCCCAGAGCGGUGCGCGGGCAGGUGGGGCGGAUUUUACCGCAGUAACUUCUCGUCCGCUGCGCUUCCCCACGACCCGCGUUGAACGCACGACGUGGAGGGUGGUGCGUGACGUGGGGGUCAUGCAUGGGACGGUUUCUGCAUGCAUGCGUCACAUCAUGGUUAAUGGGAGAGGAGGCGGCCCGUGCCUUCCCCAUAAAGAGAGGAAUUACCGCGGGCGCGCUACUCACUUUACCCCCCGCAUCUUCUCCAAUCUCGGAACUGCUGCCCUCUUUUCCUUCCUUCACAAGAUUUUGCCUCGUCCUGCCGCUUCUGCGUCUUUGCUGUCCUCGGCCCCUCACCUCUCAGAGCCGCCAUGGCCCCCAAAACCAGCAAGGGCAAAGGGACGGCCACGGACACCGGAGCAACGGAGCCACCAAAGAGUGAGCUGGCGGCGCGGCGGAUGCAGCUUGCCUACUUCCCCUCAAUGGUCGACGUGUUCGAGCUCCGGGAUAGCUUCAAGNNNNNNNNNNNNNNNNNNNNNNNNNNNNNNNNNNNNNNNNNNNNNNNNNNNNNNNNNNNNNNNNNNNNNNNNNNNNNNNNNNNNNNNNNNNNNNNNNNNNNNNNNNNNNNNNNNNNNNNNNNNNNNNNNNNNNNNNNNNNNNNNNNNNNNNNNNNNNNNNNNNNNNNNNNNNNNNNNNNNNNNNNNNNNNNNNNNNNNNNNNNNNNNNNNNNNNNNNNNNNNNNNNNNNNNNNNNNNNNNNNNNNNNNNCCACGCGCGUCAUCCCCGCCAACUGCGCCAAGGCCGCCCCGAAUCAGUACCCGUUUUUCGUUGACUACUUCCCUUGCGGCCUGUGCCCCCUUUCUCCGAUUUCUUCAAUGAUGUCAUGCACACAUUUGGAUUCCACCUUUUUGAUUUUACCCCAAAUGCCAUGGUGUGCAUGGCUCUUUUUGCCCACCUUUGUGAGGGCUUCGCCGGAGUCGUCCCCAACACGGCGCUCUUCCGCCACUACUUUCACCCUCGCAUCCAGGGGGGAGGCGCCAUCUCUGGUUGUGUCACCUGGAUCCCAAGGUCCAAAGGGGUCGCGUACCUAGAUGGCGCCUAGAAGGAGAGGUGGGAAGAAUGGCGGAGCCAGUGGUGCUGGAUCGAGGAGGACUACCCGCCGGUUCGCAGGCCCGACUGGGGUGACGUCGACGCCCAGGACGACAAGCUCAAGGUCACUGUCACCCAGAUUCUCUACCUCACCGAGGCCAGGCUCACCCUUGAGAUGAUCGGGGAGGAUUUCAUCCACUGCCGGAUCGCUCCACUGCAUAACAAGGGGAGGCCGGCCUGGCUUUUCACGAAUGCAGCCGAUAUCAUGAGGCUUCGCCCCAGCCUCGACCACAACUUCACGGUGCUGGCGCAUGCCCACUUCUGCCAGCGGCUCUUCUAGCUCGACAUGGGCCACGACGGCAAGGCUGAGAGGUCCGGCAAGGCCGCAAGGGCCGACAAGGUCGCCAAGGGGCCCAUGUUUGGGUUGCCGGCAGGGGUGGUCCCGCUGAGCAAUAACUCACGCCUGAAUGACAUCAUCGCCAUGAUGCCGGACUGUAAUGCGCAUGGCCCCGUCCCCAACUAGGCCAUGCCGUUGGAGGAGCGGGUGCAGGAGUUCUUCGACAAUCUGGAGGAGAACUACGUCCAUGAUGAGCCGCGGAUCGUCCAAGACACCACCCAGGCGGAGCUGGACUACAUCGCCGCCAGGACGAUGGAGGGGGAGCUCAUAAAGGAGGCCGGCAGCGCCAGUGGCAUGGAGGACAAGGCCGCGGCGGUCGCAAAGGAGAAGGAACUCGCCAAGUGGCAGGAGUCUGCUGGGGAGGCCAGUAGCGCCCGCACCAAGGCCCCUCUUGUCGAGAAUGAUGAUGAUGAGUCGUCCGGGGAGGAAUCCGAGGCUGUCGAGCCAGGUGAGUCUUGCGCCGGGCCAGGUCCGGCGAGCCGGUUUGGCCCGGCAGGGCCGCACAACCCCGGCACACCUAGGAGGUGUCCACACGCCAAACGAGGGCCGCGGUGGCAAAGAAAUUGGUAAAGGCCGCGGUAGCGUUGAAGAAAGCAUCUGCCUCUUCUUCGUCCAAGCGUUCCCCAACUCCGCCUGCUUCCCCUCCUCCAUCUGUUUCCCCCCUCCCGUAGGCGAUGACAUGGAGGUCUUCUUCGACCUCGGGUCUCUCAGCCCGACGAGGAAGAGGAAGGUCACAAAAGAGGAGGUGGAGGACGAGUAAGCGCAGUUUCGCUUUGUCAUCCCUAGCCCCCUCUAACUGUGCUCCCCUAUCCUGACUUGUUUUCGUCUUGGCAGGGAUGCGGAGACGCUGGCCCAAAGGGUAAAGAGGGCUAGGUUAUAACACCCACAAUGCGGCUAUAUCUCCCACGUGUCGGGGCACGACUUAGAGGCAUACCCGCAUGGUAGGUCAAUACCGGCAUGCGCUUGGCCGGGUCGCUCGACCCGGCCAAGCCCCCCAAGCCGGCCAGACUAGCCGACCCGGCAAGACACGUCAACUCGGCCCCAACAACUAGCGCAAGACAGCCGAACCCGGCAUGACCAAAGCCUCCUCAACAAGCCAGCGCCACCCGUGGCAUGCUACGCAAUCCAGCCGCGGGUCAACUCCCGUCCCAUCCAGGCCGUAUGAUGGGGACGAGACUUCAAUCAACGAUGGCCGAAGAGACAAUGCCCCGCCCAUGCCUCUGGUCAGUAGGAAUGUGGCAAUAGUGCCCCUCACCUACCCGCUGACCAGGGCCGACGUGGCUACAGUGCCCCCCUCACUGCUGAUGACAGCAAGCGGCAGCCGGAUGGAGAGCACUAUAUGCGACUCGACUCGGCCAUGCCCUGACGAUCGACAACACGGCGCACAGUCCCCCUAGGCAUGCGGGGCCCACACCUAGGGGAACCCGGAGAACCACAAGCACUCAGCGGGACCCAGCCCAGGUCCUCGGACACCGACAAUACAGACCCACCGACUUGUAACACGACCAUUGUACCCCCGGGGGGUUGGACUAUAAAACCCCCCAGGAGCCCAUGGUCAUAAGGGAUAUUAUCUCUCUGAGGGUGAGAGAGAGGGCAAGCAGAAAACACAUACGAGAGAAAAGCAAGUAAGCAUAGGACUAGCCACAAAACAGCAACACCGAAGAGAAGGAGCGGUCCAAGCCUUGGCCAGCUUCCUUCCUCCUCCAUACAGCUCCAGGAGCAACAUUGCACUAUCGAUCAUCCAACUAUACUCGACAGGACUAGGGGUAUUAUCUCUCCGGAGAGCCCCGAACCUGGGUAUGUCCGGCGUCCCGCGCCCGCUCAUGCCAACCCCACCUCUGGAGUCCAGCAGCGCCCUCGAGCCUCGUCCUCCCUUUAGCCAUCCCUUGGCAUCUGCCGUGCGCCCACCACGACAGUUGGCGCCCACCGUGGGUAAGCUCGAGGAGCUGGCCGGGAGCAUGCUUUAGACGGGGCCCUUCUCCUACACCGACAAGUCCGCCGCGCUGGUGGACGACGUCGUUGGCGCGCUUGCCGCCUCCUUCGCUGCGCUGCGCAUCUCCGAUGCGUUCGCGGCCAAGGAGCACCCCAGCGAGGUGCUCAGCUGCUCCGUUGCUCCCCUCUCCCUCGGCAGCGGUGUUUCCGCCGGGGCAAUGGACUUCCAUGUGGAGGUCUUCGUUACCGGCGACGGCGCCUCCUCCUCGUCGAGCAAGCCGAGGAAGGCUGUCGAAGCCAGGGCCGUAGCGGAUUUGAUCGAGCCGUCCGAUCCGUUGUGCGCCGUGAUGCAGAGCCUCCGCAUCCCCAUCAGCACCGACGCCGACGCCACCAAUGUCGUUGAGGCCCGAACCCAGUUCGAGGAAAGGCGCCAGCAGAUGCUGGACCUGUCCGAGAUGCUCGCCGCCACUCAGCGUCGCCUCGACACCGCUCAGCUGGAGCGCGAUGCCGCCUACGGAUUCACGCCCACCGAGGCCAAGCCAAGCCGGGUCGCCGAUGUGCGUGCCCGAGGAGGAGCGAUCGGCCGGGCCCUCGGCGCCGUCCCAACCGUUCACGAGACCCCAGCGAAGAACAUGCACGCUACCUAGGCAGCCACAGCCGGCCUGGACCAGCUCGCGCGUGAGGAGCUGAAAGAGCGCAUCGGGCGGAUGCACGAACUACUCCACACCGCCAACACCCAGUAGGACCGCCUCAACCUGCUUGGCAAGCCGGCGGGAUCCGGCUCCGCCCGCCUUGGCGGGUCCGGUGAACUUCUGCACACCGCUUCCUCGCCACCGGGCGAGGCGCACUCCGGUCCAGCCGGACUUGGCACGACCCGGCCGCUACAGCCGCCGGCGGAUUGGGCGACGAGCCCAUCCUAGAGAUCCAGCGCGAACCCGGCCAGCAUGGCCGGCGUCCGGCUCCAAGCGACCCGCCCCCCCGUGGCCUGGCCGCAAAUCGACUCGGCCCGCGCGCCAUCGACGACGCCGACGCUCGCCACUUCCUCGAUCGGCUUGCUCGCUCCCUGGAGGUGGAGGAGAGCGGCGCUAUCGGGCCGGCGUGCUUCAGUCCGUGCAUCCAGGAGGAGCCCUUCCCCAAAGGAUUCAUGCUCCCCCGUGACACCCCCAAGUACAACGGGAUGGUGAAGCCAGAAGACUGGCUCACCGACUACACCAUGGCCUUUGGCAUCAUCGGUGCCAAUCGUUGUCUCGCCGUGUCCUACGCACCGCUCAUGCUCCAAGGGUCGGCCCGCACAUGGUCGAACAGCCUGCCGAUGGGCAGCAUCAACACGUGGGUGGACUUCGAGGAAGCCUUCGUCCGCAACUUCACGGGGACCUACAAGCGACCCGGCUGCCCUAGCCAGCUCGCCAUGUGCGUUCAAGGGCCUACGGAGACCGGUCGCGAGUACCUCGCACGCUGGACCGAGCUCUGAAACAGCUGCGAGGGCGUCCAUGAAGUCUAGGCGAUCCAGUACUUCGUCAGCGGGUGCCAAGACGACACCCUCCUCAAGAACAAGCUCUUAUGCUCCGAGCCAGCCACCAUGGCUGCGCUCACGGUGACGGCGGACAAGUACGCCAAUGCCGACUCCGCCAUGAUGAUCCAGGUGGCGCUGGAUGAAGCCGGCAAGGCGAAGCCGGUUCUCCCUCCGAAGCCGGCCGGCGAAAGCAGCCGGCAGCCGCAUCACCAGAACAACAAGCGCAAGGCCGACCAGCCGACACCGUGUCAUGCCAACCAGCUCGUCGCGGCCAUGGUGUCAUGCAAGACGGCAUGGCAACCUGCCAUGAGCUUUGAGAAGAUGCUCGACGCCCCUGCAAGCACCACAACGGCGCAAGACCCUCCACGCACAUGCUUCGGCAGUGCGCCAUCACCAAGCACAUCAUGAGGGGCAGCCGGUUGGGGUCUCAGCGUAAGAUGGUACCACCUAACACAUUUUUGGAUGUUUUGCAUAACCCGUCUGUCAAGUUGCCCACAGAAGAAGAUUUAGCUGUUCCCGACCUGGAGGCGCAGUUUGUGGCGGCUCUUCACGUCAUCCCAGAUUGGACAGUGCCGUUCUUGGCUUACAUGACCCGGGGAGAGUUGCCAGUGGAUGAGACCCUGGCUCGAUAGAUAACCCGGUGGUCUAAGUCAAUGACGAUUUCAGAUGGAGAAUUAUACCAUUGCAGUGUCUCCGGAGCGUUUCAGUGGUGUGUUUCCCCCGAAGAAGGUCAAGAAAUACUUCAUGAGAUCCAUGAAGGCGAUUGUGGUCAUCACGCCGGGUCAAAAUCUCUGGUGGCCAAGGCUUUUUGUCACGGUUUUUACUGGUUGCUCAUGCUAAUGCAGAGGAUCUGGUCAGCAGAUGUGAUGGAUGUCAAAAGUUUGCACGACGAGCGCAUGUGCUGGCUCAAGAGCUCCGGAUGAUUCGAAUCACUUGGCCGUUUGCAGUCUGGGGGCUUGACAUGGUGGGAUCUUUUAAAAGGUCUAAGGAUAAAAAGACACAUCUCUUGGUGGCAGUUGAUAAAUUCACUAAGUGGGUUGAGGCGGAGCCAGUAAGUGUGACGCGGCCACGGCAAUUCAGUUCAUGAAAAAGGUGAUCUUCCGUUUUAGUUUUGCACACAGCAUUAUCACUGACAAAGGCACUAAUCUAUCCCAAGGGGCUAUGGAGGAGUUUUGUCAACGUGAGCACGUCCGGCUUGAUGUUUCUUCUGUAGCUCAUCCUCAAUCCACUGGUCAAGCUAAGAGAGCAAAUCAGGAAAUUUUGAAAGGUCUCAAACCCCGGCUUAUGGUUCCCUUACAACGAACGCCGGGUUGUUGGGUAGAGGAAUUACCCUUGGUGUUGUUGAGUAUGAACACCACACCUAACAGGUCUACAGGUUACACACCUUUCUUCAUGGUUUAUGGAGCAGAAGGAGUGUUUCCUAGUGACAUCCGUCAUGACUCGCCCCGUGUGGCGGCUUAUGUUGAAGCUAAUAAUGAACAAGCCAGACAGGAUGCACUUGACUUGUUGGAUGAAGAAAGAGACUUAGCGGUGGCUCGGUUAGCAAUUUAUCAACAGGACCUGUGCCGUUAUCACAGCCGCUGGGUCAAAUCCAGGACUUUUCAAGAAGGCGACCUGGUGCUCCGGCUCAUCCAGGAUCUGUCAGAUGCGCACAAGCUAUCCCCACCUUGGGAAGGACCCUUUGUGGUCAGCAAGAACUUAAACAACGGGUCGUAUUACCUCAUUGAUGUUCGAGAACACAAAGAUUCACGUCAAUCGGAGGAGGAGACCCGCCGGCCAUGGAACAUUGCUCAACUUCGGCCAUACUACACAUGAGCUACCAGUUCUCGUCAUGUACAUACUUUAACAUUGUAUAUACCAUGAUAGGUAAUAAAGUAAGACCAUCUGUCUCUUUUCUUUUCAAAGAUUAUGCAUCUUCGUUAUUUCUUAUUCUCAAAUGACUAUUAAGGAGCUGAUCAUAUUUGAAUCAAGUCUAACCUUUUUUGGUCCGGCUUAUGAUCGUAUUCGAAUCUAGCUGCAAUUAUCAUGGUCACUUGGGGGCUUCCUGUUCAAACAUAGGUCGUAUUCGAAGCAAAUAGAACAUAGCUGUCGUAACCCUCUUGAUCGGCUCAAGGCCAAACUCACUAGGGGGCUUCUUGAUCGUAUCUGAAUCAUAGCUUAACCCCUUUUGUCCGACUUAGAUUGUAUUCGAAUCAGGGUCGUUAAAAACCUCUCAAGGUCAUUUGGGGGCUUCCUGUUCAAACAUAGGUCAUAUUCGAACCAAAGAGAACAUAGCUGUUGGUACCCUCUUGAUCGGCGCAACGCCACAACCACUGGGAGCUGCUUGACAUUCUGAGGAGGCUCCCAAUUCACAAUUGCAAACACCUUCUCAGGAUUAACAAUGAUGCCUUUGGCGGAGAUGAUAUGACCAAGGUAAAGAACUUCAUCAAGCCAGAACUCACACAUGGAAAACUUCGCAUAGGAUUGAUGCUCUCUGAGUUUGUCGAGUACCAAUCUCAAAUGCUUGGCAUGAUCCUCCUUUUUCUUGGAAAAGACCAAAAUAUCAUCGAGGUACACUAGGAAGAAAUAAUUUGUGUAGGGGUUGAAGAUGAAGUUCAUCAUGCGAGAGAACAUUGGAGGAGCGUUGACAAGGGCGAAAGACAUGACAGUAUAUUCAUAAGAACCAUAGCUUGAUCUGAAUGCUGUCUUGGGGAUAUCUUGUUCACGAAUGCGAAUAUGAUGAUAACCCAUACGGAGGUCAAGCUUGGAGAAAACUUGAGCACCUUUAAGUUGCUUGACAUGCUCAUUGAUGUUGGGAAGUGGGUACUUGUUCUUUAUUGUUUUCUUGUUCAAUAGAUGGUAGUCGACACAGAGUCGUUUCGUUCCAUCCUUCUUCUUGAAAAAAAGAACACCACAACCCCAUGGAGAUGAAAUCGGUCUGAUCAGACCCAUACGCUCUUGUUCAUCGAGUUGUUUAUUCAACUCCUUCAACUCUUCUGGUCCAAGCUUGUAAGGACGCUUGCAGACAGGUUCCGUGCCAGGCUCAUGAUCGAUAACGAAUUCAACUGGCCGGUGAGGAGGCAUUCCCGGAAGCUCUUCUGGAAAGACGUCUUGAUAUUCACAAACGACUGGAAUCUGAGAGAUGGCAUUCAACUCGCCCUUCUCAUUGAGAGAAAACAACCGAAUGGUUUCGUCAGGAGCAGCAUAGAUGAUCACUUUCUCAGAAGAGGGUGUCAAUUGAAUUUCUCUGGCAGCACAAUCAAGCAGAGCCUUGUGCUUAGAAAGCCAGUCCAUGCCGAGAAUUAGAUCAAAAUCCGAGUCACCGAGAACAAUUGGACAAGCCAGAAAUUUAUAGUUGCCCAUCUCGAUACCGACAUUCGGAACCAUCAUGCUAGAACUCAAACGCUUAGCCGGAGAAACAACUUGCAAUGCUUUAGGUAAGGCCAGUGCUACAGCCGGAUUCACUCGCUGAUGACCAACAUGCUCGAUGUGAUUCAUGUAUGCCUGUCUCCAUAGGUCUGUGCCGCUUUGGCUUCACAACUAGCCAUGUCGGCCCGGGUUCUCUGUCAUAUGGAUGCUAGCGACACUAUCAUAUACGUGAGCCAAAAGGCGCAAACGGUCCCGGGCCAUGGUAGGGCGACACCCAUGGGGAUACCGUGCGUGAGGCCGCAAUGUGAUAUGAGGUGCUACCGGCUAGAUCGAUGUGAAUUGGAAUCAGGGUCCUGACAUGAGAAGGGUAGUCCAAGGUUGAAUGGCACAAUGGCGGUGCAAGCUGGGAACAAAAUGCAAUUGCUGGGAAUGAUUCUGGUAACUGGGAAUAACUCAACGAGAGUGAUUCCACCAUCUGGAUGGUUAUAGCAUAAUCGAAGAAACUGAGAGUACAAGGAUCCGUAAGGAACAACUUCUAGAAUGUGUUACACUAAAUCCUCAUGGAAAAGAUGGUCAAAUAGCUCAAUCAAGAUACUACAAUGAUAGAUCUUCCGGCUAGGUGUGUCGGCCAACAUCAACCUUGUUUGAACCUACAUCAUAGAUCUUGGACUAGUUCCAACCAUCAUAUCUAUCUGAGAUUCAGAUCUGGUUGGUAACAGGACAUUCCACAGUUAAUAGAUGAAACCCACUAGCAUGAGUAGGAGUUGUUUGAGCCCUGAUGUGCCUACUCAUUCAUGCUUGUUUGUCAUGCCUACUACUGCUUAGAGUUGAGUCAGGUAUGAUUCAUCGGGGAUGAAUUGGAAUGGCGAUGAACAUGUCCUACUGUGUGUGAGCUAAGUGUGUGAACACGAUUUGGUAAAGGUAGCGGUGAGAGGCCAUGUAGGAGUACAUGGUGGGUUGUCUCAUUGAAACCGUCCUCAGGAACUGAGUUCUGUGUUGGUGAUCCAUGAACAUCUACUACCACUCAUUGGGAUCCUUAAUUGACCCUCUCGACUUAUUAACUGCCCUAGUCCUCUAUCCAGGAGUUGCAACUAGUUUCUGGUGUUUAUAGGAUAUUUGUUGGUGGCCGUGCGUAGCGCCGACCCUACGGGUGGGCUAUGAUGCGGUAGAUACACCGUGGCACAGUGUACCGGGCGCCUGUUUGGUGUCUCGGGAACCCUGCACACAUCGUUUGGGGCUGUGAGCGAAAAUCCGGCCGGAUCUCCUCGCGGAUGGAACCCGAAUAGGCGAUAAACCUGGACUAGAGACUUGUGAGGUUAGUCAGGUUGUGGCCGACACCCUCGCCAGGCUUCCGCUUGAAGGUUGCCGAGAUACAUGAUGUGUAUAUGGUGAUAAGUGGUGAGAGCAUGUGUGAAGAAGUACACCCCUACAGGGUUAUCAUUAUCUAUUCGAAUAGCCGGAUUCCUCGGAUAUGGAAACUUGGACGCCUUGCAUAGUUCAUAGACAAGUGAAAGUGGAUACUCUAAAAUGCGCAAGAUAAGCGUGAGUGCUAUGGAUGGCGUUCUCGUAGGGAGACGGGAGCGGAUCCAUAGUGGUGUAUUGAUAUGGUGAAUAUGUGGACUCGUGUGCGCCACCUCAAAAGAGUUACUUGCAGUCGUAGUUUAAGAUAGCCACCGAGUCGAAGCCGGCUUGCUACAGUUAAACUCCACCACCCCCCUUGUUGAUACCGAUGCAUAUGUAGUUAGUUCUGAUGUAAGUCUUGCUGAGUACUUUUGUACUCACGUUUGCUUAUUUUAUGUUUUGAAAAGAGACUUCAGUCUCGCUAGUAGUUCCACGUGGACAUCGAUGUUUAGCUUGAUACCUCAGCUAUGAUCUUGUGCCCUCGGCAGGAUCUGGUAGAUAGUCAGGCUUCUCAACCCUUUUCAUUUGUAGAUGUCUGUACCUAGACAUGUUAAGCUUCCGCAUGUGCCUUGAUUUGUAUGCUCUGAAUGAUGGGUCAUGAGACCCAUGUUUGUAAUAUCUCGCUCCUCGGAGCCUAAUGAAUAAAUACUUUGAGUCGUAGAGUCUUGUUGUGAUGCCAUGUUGUGUUUACAAAUAUCGAGCAUAUUGUGUGUAUGAUUGAAAUGCUUGGUAUGUGUGGGAUCCGACAACCUAGUUGUUCAUCACCUUCGUCCCAACUGCUCCCACUUUUAAUGUCGCCGGCGCCGUAGUUUAAAAUCAACCCUGUACUACCCGGUAUCGCUACAAUCUUCUCUCUUCCUCUCUGAUUCUCCUGUCGUCUACCUCCAAUCAGCCUGACCUAAACGUACGCCAUGCCGCAUCAUGAUGGUCUGCCCUUAGUCUUGCAGUUUCCUGAGGAAGACACCCAGCCGGAGUCUCAAGAACAUAAGGUGCUUUGGGACGAGCUUGAAAUAGCCUUGCGGGAAGACGCCGCGCCUGUCCCCGCUCCCCUUUAGUAACUCGAAACGGGAGUUGCAGCAUGAACAUAAACUAGUUAAGGGUGAAGUGACAAUGUGUGUUGGAAGUGGUUCCAAGAUUGAUAUGAUCAUCAUCGCACACUCCCUACACUUUCGGGAGUAGUGUUGACCCUAAAUAAAUGUUAUUUGGUGUUUGCGUUGAGCAUGAAUAUGAUUUGAUCAUGUUUAUUGCAAUAUAGUUAUUCAUUUAAGUCAAAGAAUAAUUAUUGUUCUAUUUACAUGAAUAAAACCUUCCAUGGUCAUACACUCAAUAUAAAUGGUUUAUUGAAUCUCGAUCGUAGUGAUACACAUAUUCAUAAUAUUGAAGCCAAAAGAUGCAAAGUUAAUAAUGAUAGUGCAACUUAUUUGUGGCACUGCCGUUUAGGUCAGAUUGGUGUAAAGCGCAUGAAGAAACUCCAUGCUGAUGGACUUUUGGAAUCACUUGAUUAUGAAUCACUUGAUGCUUGCGAACCAUGCCUCAUGGGCAAGAUGACUAAGACUCCAUUCUCCGAAACAAUGGAGUGAGCGACUGACUUAAUGGAAAUAAUACAUACUGAUGUAUGUGAUCUGAUGAGUGUUGAGGCUCACGGCAGGUAUCAUUAUUUUCUAACCUUCACAGAUGAUUUGAGAAGAUAUGGGUAUAUCUACCUGAUGAAACAUAAGUCUGAAACAUUUGAAAAGUUCAAAGAAUUUUAGAGUAAAGUGGAAAAUCAUUGUAACUAGAAAAUAAAGUUUCUAUGAUUUGAUCGUGGAGAUGAAUAUUUGAGUUAUGAGAUUGGUCUUCAAUUAAAACAAUGCGGAAUAGUUUCACAAACUCAUGCCACGCGGAACACCACAGCGUAAUGGUGUGUCCGAAUGUCAAAAUCGUACUUUAUUGGAUAUAGUGUAAUCUAUGAUGUCUCUUACCGAUUUACCACUACCAUUUUUUGGGGUUAUGCACUAGAGACAGCUACAUUCCUGUUAAAUAGGGCACCAUCUAAAUCCGUUUAGAUGAAACCGUAUGAACUAUGGUUUGGCAGGAAACCUAAGCUGUCGUUUCUUAAAGUUUGGGGUUGUGAUGCACUACAAGAAAUAUGUCAACUUGUGACCAGCACUAUUGGUCACUGAAUGGUCAUUGUUUUCAAUUUGUGACCUUUUUGUGACCAAAAACAUAAGGUCAAAAGCUGGCGGUCGUAAACUGACUAUAGCGACCUUUCUUCUGGAAUGGUCGUAGACGUUUAUGACCAAAAUACGUCUACUGUGGCGUUUUGGUCACUAGCAAGCUCCCCAGGACAGGUAGGCAUCCAGCGUGGCAACCUGAUGUGGCACAAGAUUCAGCCCGGUCCAAUUUGAUUUUCUACAUGGGCCUAGCCCAACAAUUCAGCCUUUUUAAAUUAUUUUUUUCAUGUGCUUUUAUUAGCUACAUGGGUCUGACCUAGUAAUUCGGCCCAUGUAUUUUUUUAGGCAAGCCCUUUUAAUAUAUGUAUUUUAUGUUAAUUUCGGUUAGCGAGAUGGGCCUGGCCUACAAUUUGGCCUUUUUAUUUUCUAGCGCACGACAUGUUGCGGUCCAUUUCUUUAUUAUUUCCAGCUUUUUUUGUCAGUUCUAGUUUUCAGAUGGGUCCCAAUUGUUAGGUCUUUUAUAGCUUAUUAAUAAGCAAUAUAUAUGUAUAUAUCAAACAGAUAGAAGAGAGAAACCAUAUGAAAAUCUUCAAAUAACAGCUAAAAUAAGUUUAUUACAAUAUGCUAUACAGAACAGAACACGUGAAACUACAUACACUCAUUCACAUCACAACAACCAGCUUCCAUACACUCAUUCACAUCACAACAACCAGUUUCACCAUCGAAUCUUGCAUACCCAGGAACUUCAAACUUCACCCAGAUCCACACAAUCAUAAAUAUUGGGAUCUACAAAUAAACCGUUACUCUUGGAUACCACAAAACAUGCUCUUCAACAUAGGAAGAAGUCAUCAACGGAGUUCUACCAACAACACAAGCUCCAUUCACCUACAAGAACAGAAUGGAAUAUCAAGUACUUGGAUCAUUCAAGCAGAUUACAACCAACAUAUAUAUAUAUGUAGAAGUACAUCAGUAAAUAUGAUGGAGCAAAUCAGACAACAGAUACACUUAUACAGCCCAACAAAAGGGUGAUGACGACAAGCAAAAAAUAUACUCCCAGGUUUGGACAUAAAUAGUGUCAGAUCAAGCAGAAGACAAUAAGGCAGUAAACAUAUUGUCACAUCCUCUUUGACCCUCUUCAGAUCAAUUAAUCUACAUAGCUUCAAUUUUCUUUGUGCUUUACAGCAAAGAGCAAAACUAAAGAGAGCAAAGCAUAGUUGAUGAUGGAUUGGUGAAUUACCUCGAUGGCGUACUUGAUGGUAAUGUCGAUCCUUCUGGAGUUACUAGUGUUCGUCCACAGACAUAAGCAUAGAAAAGAAAACAUGAUUUCAGCAAAACUAAAACUGUCAAUGAAAGUUGAAUAACAAUGCAGCAGAUUAGCUCUUAGCAUGGAGGAACAUCACCAAAUUAAACAAGAUGGUUGUUCAAGUUUCUAUAUGAGUAUUCAUGAUUUCAGUUUGUCAUCAUCGUUUAAAUAGCUUGGCAAAUAUUGAUAGCAAAGAAACAAAAAAUUGAAGUCUAUAGAUUUGUGAGCAUGCAGUAGAUUGUUCACAUCCUAAUGAAAUACAUGGCAAAGAAGCUUGAACUAUACUAGCAACAGAAAUCAGUCAAUAGUAUCUGAGAGUGACUGAUGGUUGUUUCAACAAACAAACAGUUUCUUGACAUCUUAACAUGGACCAAAGAACCGUUGUUACUUCACAAUG